rnacentral:lncRNA from 1 species
GAGAGAUUAAGGUAUCUCAACCUUUCAAAUGAGCCCAAGAAAUUUGGAAUUGGAAUUCCUUGAAAAUCAUUAAAACUUAGGUCCAAGUAAUUUAAAUGUUUCAAGUCAAGUAAGGAAUCACUUAUCUCACCACCCAAACGUGAGAAGGCACCACCAGAUUUGAGGUCAACCUUAACAACAUGCCCUGUUUGGUUGUUGCAAUCCACACCUUUCCACUUGCAGCAAUCUGCACCAACCCAGGAAGAAAGCCUACCUGAAGGAUCUUUCAGUCCAUGUUUGAAUUCAAGAAGCGCUUUCCGCUCUACCUCAAUGCAGCCCUUGUUCAUACCACCAUCAAUGGAAUUGAUAAUAGUAGCUUGAGCUAGGAGAAGCUCGAGAAACAGAGAAAGGAGAAAAAGAGUAAGAAGUAGAAGGGUGGUUUUCCAACUUGCCAUUUGAUGAAUGCAAAGUUGCAAAGUUGUUAGUGGGUGCUAUAUAAAUAAUUUAGUCAACUAUUUUAAGUCUUUUGGCCGCCAUAAAUAUAGAAGAAAUUAUCAAGUUCAAUCACAAUCGGAUCACAUAUCUCUUCUGUCCCUGAGUAAAUUAAUUCAAGACAUUAAUUACCAAGUUUUUGGUCCAAAGAAAAAAAGAAUUUUUUUUAUUCCUAAUUUACACUCAUCUAAUUAUUAACUAUAAUAAAAAAUUUCAAUUAAUUAAAAAAAUAAAAUUUAGAUUUUAAUAUUUUUCCCAAAUUAAAAUUUCAAAAAUUAAUAAAUUAAUCUCAACUAUGUUAUUCAUAAAUCCCAAGAUAGGUUACAUAAAAAUAAGUUUUAACUAAUAAAAUUUCUAACAUUUUAUUAACUACCAAGUAUAAUUAGAAAUCCUAAUUAUUAUGUAAUUAUCAAUUUUCUACUAAUUAUAUAAUUAAUUAUUAUGAAAUUUUAUUAUACUAAUAAAUUAUGAUAUUUCGGUAUAUUUUAAAAUAUAUUAAAUUACCAUUUUUAAAUUAUUAAUUUUAAAAUCAAAAUAAAAAAUAUAAUAACUAUUUUUUAGAUAUUUUUAAUAUGUAAACAUAAAUAAGUAUAACAUUUCAAACAUUAAUAAAAACAAGUAGUUUAACACUUAACAAUAUUUAUAUAAUAAUAAGAAAUAAAUAAUCUAAACGCUUAAUCAGUCUACUAUAUUUAAGUCAAAGUUACGUCUAUUCAAAUUUCAAACAAAAAAUAAUUAAAUACCACAUUACACUUACUAUGCAUUACUUAAGCCAUUUAUAUAUGUAAUAAAGAAUUUUUAAAUAAUUUUCAUGAUAUUUUAUUUUCGUUUAGAGGAGAAAGUUUCAAGUAGCUUUCUUCAAUUAUUUAAAGUUAGUGACUGUCCAUAGAAGAAAAUUUUGACAUGAAUCUAAAAAGAAAAACAAUUUUCACACAAGUCUAAAAAUAUAUUUUAGAGAAAAUUAAUACAUCAUGUGUUAAAACAUUAUUUGAAUUUCUUCUCCUCUUGAUUGUUUUCUUAGACAAUGACUUCAAAGACUUUUGUGACAUGUUGACUGAAACAAAGUCCUUGUCUAUUUGGUUUGAGUUAGGAAAAAAAAGGGAAGUUGCAUUUUUUUUUUAAUGAAAAAUUUUAUUUUUUCUAAAUAAAAAAAUUCUUUCUUUUUUUAAAAUAAAAAAUUUCCUUAUCUAACCAAACCAAUUUUAACCAAUUCAUUGUAGCCUAAUUAGUUUAGUUUUUCAUUUAAAGACGUUUGGUUUAGCUUGCAAAAAAAAAAAAAAAUACAAAACAAAACAAAAAACAAAAACAUGGUUAAAUAAGUGGUAUUUAUUUUUUUGUUUAAAAUCUGAAUGGAAUAUUAUUAAGCAUUUAGUUCAUUUAUUUUUUUUAUUAAUGCUAAAUAUUUUUAAGUGUUAAAUUGCUUGUUUUUAGUAAUGUAUAAAGGCUUAAACUUAUUUAUUUUUACACAUUAAAAAUAACUAUAAAAUUAGUUAUUAUUAUUAUUAUUAUUUUCAAAUUAAUAAUUUAAGAAAUAGUAAUUUAAUAUAUUUACAACUAUCUCAAAAUAUUAUAAUUCAUUACCAUACAAAAAUUAUAUAAUAAUUAAUUAUGUAAUUAUAGAAAAUUAAUAAUUAGAUAAUUAUUAGGAUUUUUAGUUAUGCUUGGUUGUUAAGAAAAUGUUAAAAAUUUUCUAAGUUAAAAUUUAUUUUUAUAUAAUAUAUUUUCAGAUUUAUGAAUAUUGUUGAGAUUAAUUAUUAAUUUUUUUCUUUUAAAUUUGGGAAAAAUAAGAAAGACUAAAAUUUUAGUUUUCAAAAUUAAUUGGAAUUUUUUAUUCUAAUGAAUAAUCAGAUAAGUGUAAAUUCAAGGACAUGAACACCCCAAUUUUUUUAUAAUGACUAAUUAUGCAAAGUGUAGAAAAAUAAUAAUUAGAUAAUUAUUAGGAUUUCUAAUUAUGCUUGGUUGUUAAAAAAUUUAUAUGUUAAAACUUAUUUUUAUAUAACUCUCUUCAAAUUUAUGAAUAUUGUUGAAAUUAAUUUAUUAAUUUUUAUUUUUAAUUUGGGAAAAAUGUAAAAAUCUAAAUUUUAUUUUUUAAAUUAAUUGGAUUUUUUUUAUUCUAGUGAAUUAUUAAAUGAGGGUAAAUUAGAAAUCUAAGUUCAAGGACAUUAGCCAACCAAACUGACCUCAAACCUAACCAAUCCAAUCUUAUUACUUUUUAUUUCCAUUUAAAGAUGUUUGUUUCUAUUAAAAAAAAAUGAUUACAUUGGUUUAGUGUUCAUGAACCAAUCAAAGCUAAACCAACCAAAUUUAUCUAUUAUUUAUCAAAAAAAUAAAAAUAAAAACGAUUACAUUGGUUUGGUAUUCAUUUCAAAACAACGAACCAAUAGAAACCGAUCUAAUCGAACCUAUCUAUUAUAUAUUUGACUUAAAGGGUGCAAGUUAUUUUUCGACUUCAUAUUUUGCUUCUCAUAAUUUACUAUAAAUUUAUGAAUUUAUUUUUUAGUUGUCAUAUUUUUUAAAAAUAUUUUAUUUUUUCAAAAUAAAUUCACUAAAUAUUAUCUCACAUGUAUUUGUGGUUCACUAAAUUUUUUAUAAUCAAAUUAAUAAAUUUAUAAAAGAAAAAUAUUAUAUUUUCUCCAUUUUGUUCACUUGAUAAACAUAUCUACAAAAAUGUCAAACGGAUGUUUGAAAUUUACCUCUUUUUUUUGUUGUGUAAUAUUUGGUUGAUUGUAUUUAUAAAGCAUUAUAAAUCCCAAGAAAGUACAUAAAGUCCUAAAUUAUUAUGAAUGAAAUAAAAUUAUUAAUUUAAAUUUAUUCUUUAUAUUAAAAAGUUCAAAUAGGUUAAAUGAAUUUGAAGUAAUUUAUAAAAAUAAUUUAUUAAUUUUAAAUCUAUGUUGUAUUUUCCUUUCUUUUCUUUCCUUUUAUUUUUUUAUUUUUUGUAUUUUUUUUUCUUGUAUUUCCCCCAAAUUUUGUCCAAACCAAACAUAAACUUAAAAAAUAUGUCAAACCAAUACUAGUGUUUGAGACUUAGAAAUUUUUUUAAAAGGAUUGGAUCAAGAUUCAAUCACAAUUAGACCACACAUAGCCCUUUUACCCAUAAGUAAAUUAAUUUAAGAUAUUUUAUUUAUUAAGAUAAUUAUCAAGUUUUUGAAACAUGAAGUUGUUGAACAUCCAAGAAAAAGAAAAAAGUAUUUUAUUUAUUUUUUUGUCUGACACACAGACUAAGAACUUUUCUUCAAUUAAAAGUCAAAAUGCCACAAAAUUCCUUGAAGUCAUUGUCUAAGGAGAACAAUUACCAAGAAAAGAAAUUCAAAGAAUGCUUUAAUGAAUGGUGUAUAUAUUUUCUCUAAAAUGCAUUUUUAGACUCCUACUACAAUUUUUUCUUGUGGGAAAAAAUAAAAAAUAAAGCUUUAUUUUUUUGCCUAACUCACACGCAAUAGAUUAAGGCCUUUGUUUUAGUCAAGAGUCAACAUAACACAAAAGUUCUUGAAGUCCUUAUCUAAGAAAAAUAAUCACAUUAUAAUAAAUAAUAUUUUAGGUUAUAUUUGGUUCGAAAAAUAGAAAAAAAAAAUGUAAGGAAAAAUAAAUUUUUCAUAUUUAAUUGUCUUAUGAAAAAUAUCAAAGAAAAUCACAUAUAAUUAAAAUUAAUUAAAAACUUAUGUAAUUUUAAAUUAUUUAAUCUUUAUAUUGAUGAAUUAAAAUAAAUAAAAUGAGUUUGAAGUAAUAAAAAAAAUAAUUUAUCAAUUUUUAGUCUAUUUUAUUUUUCUUCUAUUUUUUUUUUUGCAUUUUUUUUCCUUUGUAUUUUUUUUCAAAUUUUCUGAGAACCAAACAUAGCCUUAGUAUAUAUUUUCUCCAAAAAACAUUUCUAGACUUCUAUAUUUUUCUCUUAUGAACCACUAACUAAUGUCAAUUAAUCGAUGAAAGCAACGUGAAUGAUGAAAAUUCUUCCUACUCCAUGUUAAGCGAUAUGGCCAAUAAAGGAAAAUAAAAUAUCAUAAAAAUUAUUUAAAUAUAUAUAUAUUUAAUUCUUUAUUAUUAUUAUUAUUAUUAUUAUUCUACAUAAAGGGUUAGAAAACUACAUAACAAGUCUAUGCCUUUUGAAAAAAUGUUUAUUAUUAUUACAAAAUAAACAUUUUGUGACGAUUGAUUAUGUAAUAGGUUAACAUUUAUUUUUAUGUAAUGUAUCUUUUGAUUUAUGAAUUUUUAAUUGAAAUUUAUUUUUGUAAUGUAUCUUUUGAUCUAUGAAUUUGUAAUUGAAAUUUAAUUUUCAUAUCUGGUGGCAGUGCCAGUCACAAAACAAAAAAGUGAUGAAGACCUUUCGGCCCUUCAUGGGCCAUGUAUCACAAGCGUAUGAGCCAAUCAUGGACCCCAUCGUGUCCUCAACUUUAACCGUGGCUAUAAAUCUAAAUACUGAUGUAGAACCCUAUCUGAAAAUGGUCCAUUCAAUAGGCAUUAGGCACCUACCACAAGAAAAUUAAUGAAAACAAAAAAUGAGGCUUCAUUUUUUUUGCUUAACUCACACGCAAUAGACUAGUGACUUUGUUUUAGUCAAGAGUCAACAUGUCAGAAAAGUCUUUAAAGUCAUUGUCUAAGGAAAAUAAUCACAAAAUAAUAAAUAAUACUUUAAUAUAAGAUGUAUAUAUUUUCUUCAAAAGGCAUUUCUACACUUCUACAAUUUUCUCGGACCACUUAACAACUUCAAUUAAUUGAAGAAAGUAUUAUUAUUAUUAUUAUUAUUAUAAAGGGUUGAAAAAAUGCAUAACAAGUCUAUGUGGUAUUUAUUUAUUUAUUUUUGUCUAAAAUCUAAAUAAACCUAAAUUAUUAUUUUUUUAUUUUAAUUCUAAAAUUAAUAAGUUAAGAAAUAGUGAUUUAAUAUAUUUACAAAUAUAUCAAAAUUCUUAAUUUAUUACCAUAAUAAAAAAUUUCUAACAAUUAAUUAUGUAAUUGGUAGAAAAUUUAUAAUUAGAUAAUGAUUAGGAUUUUUAUUUAUGUUUGGUUGUUAAGAAACUAUUAGAAGUUUUCUAAGCUAAAACUUAUUUUUAUGUAAUGUAUUUUAUGAUUUGGUGUUGAGAUUAAUUUGUUAACUUUUUAUUUUUAAUUUGGGAAAAAAUUAAAUAUUAAUUUUGGAAAUUAAACAGUGGAUAAUAUAAUGAUAGAAUAAUAUUUUCUCCAUUGUGUUUGUUUAAUAGGUAGAUUCACAGAAUAUAUGAGACUUGUAUUUGAUAUUUACCAAUUUUUUCAAAUGAUUGGAUUAAGGUUCAGUCAUGAUUGGAUGAUAUAUAUUGCAUACUCUUCUAUUUAUGACUAAAUCAAAUGAAUGAUAAAAAUUACCAAGUUUUUCAAACAUCAAGCCAUCAUAAAAAAAAAAAUUAUUUUUUAUUUUUUUAAUUUAUUGGAUUUUUUUAUUCUAGUUAAUUAUUAAAUGAGGGUAAAUUAGAAAUCUAAGUUCAAGGACAUUAGUUAACCAAACUGACUUCAAACCUAACCAAUCCAAUCUUAUUACUUUUUAUUUCAAUUUAAAGAUGUUUGUUUCUAUUUAAAAAAAAAAAAAAAAGAUUACAUUGGUUUAGUGUUCAUGAGCCAAUCAAAGCUAAACCAACCGAAUUUAUCUAUUAGUUAUCAAAAAAAUAAAAAAAUAAACGAUUACAUUGGUUCGGUAUUCAUUUCAAAACAACGAACCAAUAGAAACUGAUAUAAUCGAACUUAUCUAUUAUAUAUUCGACUUAAAAGGUGCAAAAUUUGAAGUUAUUUUUCGACUUCAUAUUUUGUUUCUCAUAAUUUACUAUAAAUUUAUGAAGUUAUUUUUUAGUUGUCAUAUUUUUUAAAAAUAUUUUAUUUUUUCAAAAUAAAUUCACUAAAUAUUAUCUCACAUACAUUUGUGGUUCACUAAAUUUUUAAUAAUCAAAUUAAUAAAUUUGUAAAAGAAAAAUAUUAUAUUUUCUCUCCAUUUUGUUCACUUGAUAAACAUAUCUACAAAAAUGUCAAGCGGAUGUUUGAAAUUUACCUCUUUUUUUUGUUGUGUAAUAUUUGGUUGAUUGUAUUUAUAAAGCAUUAUAAAUCCCAAGAAAGUACACAAGUCCUAAAUUAUUAUGAAUGAAAUAAAAUUAUUAAUUUAAAUUUAGUUUUUAUAUUAAAAAGUUAAAAUAAGUGCAAUAAGUUUAAAAUAGUUUAUAAAAAUAAUUUAUUCACUUUAAAUCUAAGUUAUAUUUUCUUUUAUUUUUCUUUUUUUUAUAUAUAUAUUUUUUCCUUUGCAUUUCCCCCAAAUUUUGUCCAAACCAAACAUAAACUUGGAAACUAGUGUUUGAGACUUAGAAAUUUUUUUAAAAGGAUUGGAUCAAGAUUCAAUCACGAUUAGAUCACACAUAGCCCUUUUGCCCAUAAGUAAAUUAAUUUAAGAUAUUUUAUUUAUUAAGAUAAUUAUCAAGUUUUUGAAACAUGAAGUUGUUGUACAUCCAAGAAAAAGAAAAAAAAUAUUUUAUUUAUUUAUUUUGUCAGACACACAUAGACUAAGAACUUUUCUUCCAUUAAAAGUCAAGCUGCCACAAAAGUCCUUAGUCAUUGUCUAAGGAGAAUAAUUACCAAGAAAAGAAAUUCAAAUAAUGCUUUAAUGAAUGGUGUAUAUAUUUUCUCUAAAAUGCGACAAUGAGUAACGUCAAUUAAUCGAUGAAAGCGACGUGAAUGAUGAAAAUUCUUCCUACUUCAUGUUAAGCGAUAUGACCAAUAAAGGAAAAUAAAAUAUCAUAUAUAUAUAUAUAUAUAUAUAAUCAAUUCUUUAUUAUUAUUAUUAUUAUUAUUAUUAUACAUAAAGGGUUGGAAAACUGCAUAACAAGUCUAUGCCUUUUAGAAAAAUGUUUAUUAUUAUUACAAAUUAAACAUUGCAUAUGACCUUGUCCUGGGUGUCUAUGGUAUCAGAGCCAUCAGGAGGGGAAGUUGGGUUUGUUUUGGCCUAUCCUAGGAUAGGUAGCAGUGUGCCUAGGAGCGCGAGCCCUGCCAGUUGAGCCGUUGUUAGCCGUGGAUAGGCGUUUGUUAGGCUGUAAGAGGGUUGGGGUGACGUCUCAUAAGGUUUGUCCAUCUGCUAUUAGGCUCUAGAUCAAAACCCUAAAAUGAAUUCAAUUUUCAGAACCAUGUCUAGGAGAUCCAGUGAUUCUUAAGAUACUGUUGUAAACAGUGAAGAGAUCAAUUAUCCUAAGAUCCAAAAUGAUUUAGAUGAUUGGAAGUUACCCAAGGUGUCUAAUCAAGAAAUUUAUAAGAAAUGAACCUUUAAGUUCUUCACAGAUUAUACCAUCAAGACCUCUGAAAUGUCAGUCAGCUUAGAACAAGACGACCAAGUCAUAAGACUUCUAGAUAACAGAUCCGUUGAAAAGCAUAAGAAAGAUGGCUAUAAUUUCAUACACUUUGGUAUGAUUCAAGUAGCAGCUAAGCCUUUGACAAGAUUAGGUUUAAACACCUCUAUUGUCAUGUGUUUAAGGGAUAAUAGGCAUCUCGAAUAUCGAGAUUCUAUUAUAGGCGCAGUCCAAGCUGGACUGAAUGAUGGCCCAGUUUAUUUCCAGUGCUAUCCUAACUUCACAGUUAGAAUAAGAGAUGCAGACAUCUUAGAUUCCGUUGUCCUGCAUAUUAAGACCCAUGGCUUUAAGAUCAAACCAGGAAACAAUCCUGUUUCAAUCAUAACCAGGUUUGCCUAUAAGAGCAUGAACACAAGCGUUGGAUCUGGGGCUCUUUGCACCAGUCCUAAAGGUGAGACCACUUACUUUCACUCAGAUAUGCUAGAUAAGUCAGAUUUCAUCAUCUCCAAGAAGAUCUUGUGGAAAGAUGUUGAGUUUCCUGAAAAUUGGCAUUUUGCUAAUGCUGUUCCAGCCAUUGCACAGCGAUCUGAAAGUAUUGAACAAAUUGUUCAAUAUCCAGAUGGAGGAGGAGAACUAGUUUUCUCCAACUCCUUCAGACAUUCCAGUAGUCCUAGAGUUUCAGUUUAUGAACCCUCUAGAGCUUCAAGCUCUUCUUUCCCAGUUAGAACCACUAGGGAAGAAGAAGGAUCCAGCUCAGGAAAUCCUAAGAACAUUAAGCUAACAGGUGUUAGAAGUCACACCAAUGUGGUUAGACCAUUUUACACUGAGGAAAAUGAGUCUACUCAGGAAUCCCAACAGGAUGAGUCCCCUGUAAUGUCUCUUUCCUAUUCCCAGAUGAUUAACACAACAAGCCUAAGUGAUGAGGACUUUAAGAUCAACAAGGAUCUCUUAAGAAAGGACUUCUAUUCUGAAGCCAAUAAGCAAAGAAAUGAUUGGUUCUUUAGCACUGUUCCUAAGGUCAUUAGAACCAUUUACCAAGAAGAAUUUUAUGCCUACUUAAGACAAGAAAAGAAAAAUAUUAAGUUUUUGAUUUGGUUUGAACUCUUCAAACAAGAGGAAUAUCCAGAUUAUCCUUGUAAGCGUAUUAAUAACACCUCUACAAAAACUAAGAUAUGGAAAACCAGUGACAACAUUGUUAUAGAAUCCAUUCAUCCUCCUGAAGCUAAGAUAGAAAAGAAUAUUAAUGGAACCAUAGUCACAGCUUCACCUUUUAAGACUAAGCCAGAGGAUAAAGGAACUGCUAGUGCAAACGAUAUUAGAAGGAUUAUGGAACAAAUCAAUUAUACUAAUAUGUUUCUCAUAACCCUUGGAAAUCAAGUCAACAGAGUUGAGGAGAUUAUUGAAACUCAGGAUCACCUUAAGAAGCCUUUUGUUAAGAAUGAUAAUAAGCCUUUGUUUAAGCCUUUUGAAUUAUCUAAGAAAUUCUAGGAAAAUCCUCAAAUUGAUCAAGCUUUCAUUGAUAGAAUAAGCCAAAAGGUUAAAGAUAAUCUUGUUAUCCCUUAAACACCUCAAACUUUUGCUAUCCCUGAAACACCUCUACCUUCCCAUAGGAGAAUCCUUUUGGUUAAAAGGAAUAUUAGUCCAAAAGCAAAGGAUAAUGGACUAAUUAGGUUAACCAGAGAACCUUCUAUCCAAAACCCUUUUAAGGAUCAUGGUGAUAAACAAGAGAAAAGGAUUAUCCUUAAUACCCUGACUAUUAAAGAUCUUCAAGAAGAAAUAGGGCAGUAUAAGAAGGAUAUUAAGAACCUAAGACAACCUACAAGCUCAGAAUUCCCUAUCCCUCAGGAUUAUAUCAACAGGGUAGGUUUUUACCACAGAAGUCCUAAAAAGGAAGACUUUGAAGAAGUUCUUGAAUCUUCACAAGACAAUAGUGAUAAGAUAAAUGCAUACUUAAAUACUAUUAGUAAAGUUAUCUUCCAAAGGUGGGAAGUCUCCCUUACUAUAGAAUUUAAGAAUAAAUUUAUCCUUGAUAUUAUUGCUUUAAUUGAUUCAGGUGCAGCUUUGAAUUGUCUACAAGAAGGUCUUGUACCUACCCAACUUUAUGAGAAAACUAGGCAAACCCUUUUUGGUGCUAAUGGUAAAAAGCUUAUUAUCAAGUACAAGCUAUCGAAUGCCCAUAUUUGUAACCAAGACAUUUGCAUUAAGAAAACCUUCAUUCUUGUUAAAGAUCUCAAGGAGAAAGCUCUCCUUGGAGUCCCUUUCUUAAGCUCCAUCUUUCCCAUGUGGGUAGAUGAUCAAGGUAUAAGAACUAAGCUUUUAGAUAAGGAAAUUCUGUUUGAAUUUGCCAAUCCACCUGGAGAAAGAAGUAUAAACACCAUAAAAGAUCAGGUGAUUAAGGCUAAGCAAAAUCAUAUUAAUCUCUUAAAACAAGAGAUUGUUUUGGUUAGAAUAGAAAAUCAAUUGAAGGUUAAGAAAACUCAAGAUACCAUAGAAAAUUUUAAGAAUAAAAUUAUUAGGAAAGUAUGUUCUAACAUUCCUAAUGCAUUUUGGCACAGGAAGCAGCAUGAGGUAGAAUUACCUUAUGAGCCUGAUUUUAGUGAGAAAAAUAUUCCCACGAAAGCAAGACCAAUCCAAAUGAAAAAGGAUUUGUUAAGCUAUUGUGAAAAAGAAAUCCAGGAUCUCAUAGAUAUGAAGUUGAUAAGGAAGUCUAAAUCCCCUUGGAGUUGUUUAGCCUUUUAUGUUCAGAAACAAACUGAACUUGAAAGAGGAACACCUAGACUAGUCAUCAACUAUAAGCCCCUCAAUGAUGUUUUAAGAUGGAUCAGGUAUUCUAUCCCAAAUAAAAAAGACCUCCUUCAAAGAUUAGUUAAGUCCAAAGUUUUCUCUAAGUUUGACAUGAAAUCAGGAUUUUGGCAAAUCCAGAUUGCGGAAAAAGAUAAGUACAAAACAACCUUUGUGGUCCCAUUUGGUCAUUAUGAGUGGAAUGUAAUGCCCUUUGGCCUUAAGAAUGCACCUUCUGAGUUUCAAAACAUAAUGAAUGAAAUCUUUAACCAGUUUUCUGAUUUCAUUAUUGUUUACAUUGAUGAUGUUUUGAUUUACUCAGAUUUUAUUGAACAACAUUAGAAACAUCUCAAUAAGUUUGUUAAGACUGUUAAGAGCAAUGGUUUGAGUUUGUCAGCCACUAAGAUUAACCUCUUUCAAACUAAGGUAAGAUUCUUAAGUCAUCAUAUUCACCAAGGAACAUUCACUCCCAUUCAAAGAUCAAUUGAGUUUGCUGAUAAGUUUCCUGAUGAGAUUAAGGAUAAGAAACAAUUGCAACGUUUCUUAGGAAGCCUUAAUUAUGAGUCAGAUUUCAUACAAGAUUUAAGCCAGUUGUGUGCCCCUUUAAGACAAAGACUUAAGAAAAAUCCAGUUCCUUGGAAUGAGGAUCAUACCAAGAUUGUCAAGAUAGUCAAAUCUAGAGUUAAGACCUUACCGUGUCUUGCCCUAGCUGACACUACAACCUUUAAAAUUGUUGAGACUGAUGCUUCAGAUAUAGGAUAUGGUGGUAUUCUUAAACAGAAAAUCGACACUCAAGAAAAGUUGGUUAGGUAUACUUCAGGAACUUGGAAUAAUGCCCAACUCAACUAUAGCACCAUUAAAAAAGAAAUUUUAAGCAUUGUUUUAUGCAUUUCAAAAUUUCAAGAUGAUCUUUUAAAUCAAGAAUUUUUAUUAAGGGUUGAUUGUUUAUCGGCAAAAUCAGUUUUGCAAAAAGAUGUUAAAAAUAUAGCUUCUAAGCAUAUUUUUGCUAGAUAGCAAGCCAUUUUAAGCAAUUUUGAUUUUCAAAUUGAAUAUAUUAAAGGAAAAAAUAACUCAAUCCCUGAUUUCCUAACUCGUGAAUUUUUGUAGGAUUCACAAGAUCAUGGCUCCCAAAAAAGAAAAGCAACCCUUUAAGAAAUCAUCAUCUUACAUGAAACAUCGUUUAGUCUUAUCAAAAAAAUUCAAACCUUUGUAUUAUGAUUAUGAUUCGGGAUCUCAAGGAUCUUCUUCUAAUCCUAUUCCUCCAGUUCUUAAGCAUCCUUCCUCCCCUGUUGUGGAAGAAGGAAAUAUUUCUGGUUCUCUACCUUUAGUGGAAGAACCCAUCCCCUUAGACUCCUCUACUUUUGAUACUAACCCCUUAUCUGUUCAUAAGAGUAUUUGUGAUUUGCAGGCUAGGUGCAGGACCCUUGAAAAAAGGCUAGAAAUAGCUAAUUUUCCUAAAGAAGAUAUAAGCCAAGCCCCUUUUUCCCCACUGGAAAUUGGUGAGAAAAAACCAUUCACCCCACUGGUGGAUGAGAAAUUAAGUAAGGAUGAGCAGGAGUGCAUUAUCUUUAGAAUGUUUCACCAAAGGACUCAGAUCAUGUCCACUCUUAAGCCAGAUGAUAUUUAUCAGCUAAUUUAUGAAAAAGCCAAGACCAGUGCAGAAGAAAAACAAGUUUUUAUUUCGGCCUAUCUUCAGGAUCUGCACAUUUAUCUCUCAGUUAUUCCUGGUCUCAGUGUUCCAGGAUUGAAUUUGAUUAAGGAAAUGGAAUUUGAUGGUUCAAAAAUUUGCAGAAAUUAUAGUGAACCACUUCUUCAUCAACAUGACAACAGGCAAUUUUGCAACUGCAAUAGAAAUUUCACUAUCAGCAGAGCCUGCAUUGAUCUGCAGUAUUACCAGCCAAUUAACCUUGCUUUCAAAGGAGAUGUUUUAAUCCUAACCCCUGAAAAGCUUCUUGAUUAUGGGUUAGUCUACCAACUUAUCUGCUCUGAUCCAUGUCAAGCUAGCAAUUUUGGUAGAAAGGUUAACCUAAGCUUAAUCCAAGGUUUUAAGUUAAACAAGAAGUUUGCUGACGCUAUUUUUAUUAGCAAAGCUCCUGAAUGGAUUUCUAGAGGCAACAUUCUUCCAGCCCAACACUAUGUUAAUCUUCAUUACCAGAAUAGAAGACCUACACUUUUGUCCAGUCCCUUAGUACAAGCCGAUAUUUGCGCAGAGCCAAUUAUUAAGCAAAUCAAGCAUUGGAGAGCCAGAGUCAUCAGCAAAGAUUUUGAAGCCUACCCUAAAAACAUGGGGCAUCUCAUUGCGGCGGAUUCCCUACAUCAGAUAUUUUGCAGUAAAAAGAUUGACCAUUUACCAUUAAAAUCCACUAUUCAAGAUACUCAGCUCCUAAUGGAUCAUCGCUCAAACUAUAUUCCUCCCUGAUCAGCCGUCUUCUCAGCCGAAAGCAAGAUUCGGGGUCAAAAGUCAAAAGUGCUACAGUUCCCUCUUACUGUUCACUUUUACUAUUCAAGCACUAUUCAAGCACGAGUUUACUGUUCAUUAUUACUAUUCAAGAUUCCUUUUUUGCCUAUUUAAGGAGGCUCGGUUCUCAUUUGUAAACACGCUUAAUUUUCUCUCCCAAGCUUAUGCUCUCCCUUCUCUCUUCUUUAUCUCUCAUCAUGUAAGCCCUUCAAGCUUUCAAGCUUUCUCUAAGCUUUCCUACCCUUGUCCAUUGUAAGAUAUUUCUCCUUAUGUAUAAUAUAAAUAUGUUUUGAUUACCUCCUAUAUGGAUGGUUUUUAAUUAAGUUUUGUUUUCAUUUCAUUUUAUGUUCUUAUAAUAUGUUUUGAUUACCUCCUAUAUGGAUGGUUUUUAAUUAAGUUUUGUUUUCAUUUCAUUUUAUGUUCUUAUACCUCCUACAUGGAUGGUUUUAAUUAAGCUUUGAUUUUAAUUUUAUGUUUUUUAUUUUGUACCGCCUACAUGGUCGGUUUUAAGCUUAUCAUGAACUAACAAGUUUUUUGGUUCCUUCUCUUUAAAUUUCUUGUUGGAUAUCUUUUGUAUUUUCUAACCCUCUUCUUUGUUUUGAAUCAUGGCAUAAUUCCUGUUUUCAUUGCAUAUGACCUUGUCCUGGGUGUCUAUGGUAUCAGAGCCAUCGGGAGGGGAAGUUGGGUUUGUUUUGGGUGUUUUGGCCUAUCCUAGGAUAGGUAGUAUUGUGCCUAGGAGCGCGAGCCCUGCCGGUUGAGCCGUUGUUAGCCGUGGAUAGGCGUUUGUUAGGCUGUAAGAGGGUUGAGGUGACGUCUCAUAAGGUUUGUCAAUCUGCUAUUAGGCUCUAGAUCAAAACCCUAAAAUGAGUUCAAUUUUCAGAACCAUGUCUAGAAGAUCCAGUGAUUCUUAAAAUACUGUUGUAAACAGUGAAGAGAUCAAUUAUCCUAAGAUCCAAAAUGAUUUAGAUGAUUAGAAGUUACCCAAGGUGUCUAAUCAAGAAAUUUAUAAGAAAUGAACCUUUAAGUUCUUCACAGAUUAUACCAUCAAGACCUCUGAAAUGUCAGUCAGCUUAGAACAAGACGACCAAGUCAUAAGACUUCUAGAUAACAGAUCCUUUGAAAAGCAUAAGAAAGAUGGCUAUAAUUUCAUACACUUUGGUAUGAUUCAAGUAGCAGCUAAGCCUUUGACAAGAUUAGGUUUAAACACCUCUAUUGUCAUGUGUUUAAGGGAUAAUAGGCAUCUCGAAUAUCGAGAUUCUAUUAUCGACGCAGUCCAAGCUGGACUGAAUGAUGGCCCAGUUUAUUUCCAGUGCUAUCCUAACUUCACAGUUAGAAUAAGAGAUGCAGACAUCUUAGAUUCCGUUGUCCUGCAUAUUAAGACCCAUGGCUUUAAGAUCAAACCAGGAAACAGUCUUGUUUCAAUCAUAACCAGGUUUGCCUAUAAGAGCAUGAACACAAGCGUUGGAUCUGGGGCUCUUUGCACCAGUCCUAAAGGUGAGACCACUUACUUUCACUCAGAUAUGCUAGAUAAAUCAGAUUUCAUCAUCCCCAAGAAGAUCUUGUGGAAAGAUGUUGAGUUUCCUGAAAAUUGGCAUUUUGCUAAUGCUGUUCCAGUCAUUGCACAACGAUCUGAAAGUAUUGAACAAAUUGUUCAAUAUCCAGAUGGAGGAGGAGAACUAGUUUUCUCCAACUCCUUCAGACAUUCCAGCAGCCCUAGAGUUUUUGUUUAUGAACCCUCUAGAGCUUUAAGCUCUUCCAUCCCAGUUAGAACCACUAAGGAAGAAGAAGGUUCCAACUCAGGAAAUCCUAAGAACAUUAAGCUAACAGGUGUUAGAAGUCACACCAACGUGGCUAGACCAUUUUACAUAGAGGAAAAUGAGUCUACUCAGGAAUCCCAACGGGAUGAGUCUCCUGUUAUGUCUCCUACCUAUUCCCAGAUGAUUAACACAAUAAGCUUAAGUGAUGAGGACUUUGAGAUCAACAAGGAUCUCUUAAGAAAGGACUUCUAUUCUGAAGUUAAUAAGCAAAGAAAUGAUUGGUUCUUUAGCACUGUCCCUAAAGUCAUUAGAGCCAUUCACCAAGAAUAAUUCUAUGCCUACUUAGGACAGGAAAAGAAAAAUAUUAAGUUUUGGAUUUGGUUUGAACUCUUCAAACAAGAGGAUUAUCCAGAUUAUCCUUAUAAGCGUGUUAAUAACACUAAGAGCACUGAUAAAAUUAAGUCCUUUGAAUUUUCUAAGAAAUUCCAAGAAUAUCCCCAAAUCAACCAGGCUUUUGUUGAUAGGAUUAAUCAGAAGAUUAAGGAUAAUCUUGUUGCCCCUUUGACUGUUCAGCCUCAAAAGAGAAUCAAUAUGGUUAAAGGUGAUAUUAGUUCAGAAGAAGAAGCUGAUGAACUAAUUAAGAUGUUUGAGGAACCCCAUAAUCAAAUUAUUUCAAAAGAUAUUAACAACUUGGAAGCCUUUAAGACUAGGAAUUACUAUCCUAGGCCUACAUUUCCUGACAUGCAGCUUGAGGAAAGAAAUCAGUAUACUCAAGCCUCAUACACCAGUGGUACUAUCUAUGAAUGGAACAUAGACGGUAUGACCGAGUAUAACAUACUCACUAAGCUUCAAGAAAUGAUCAUGGUAAGUACAGCCUAUAAAUUAAACAAUAGACUACUAGAUCAUGCUGUAGCUCAGACCAUUGUUGUUGGGUUUACAGGUCAGCUUAAGGGUUGGUGGGAUAAUUAUCUCACUUUUGAUGAUAGAAAUAGUAUCCUAAAAGCCUAUAAGAUUAAUGAGAAUAGUGAAGUUGUUAAGGACAAAGAUGGCCAAGAUAUAGAGGAUGCAGUGGCUACUCUAAUCUACUCAAUAUCUAAACACUUCAUUGGAGAUCCUACAAAAAUUAAAGAUAAAACUGCAGAUCUCUUAACCAACCUUAAGUGUCCCAAGCUUCAUGAUUUUAGAUGGUAUAAAGAAUUCUUCCUAACCAAAGUCAUGCUAAGAUCAUAUUGUAACCAGUCUUUUUGGAAAGAAAAAUUCAUCUCAGGAUUACCCAAGCUUUUCUCUGAGAGAAUUAGGAUCAAGAUAAGGGAACAGUAUAAUGGUCAAAUCCCUUAUGAUAAGCUAACUUAUGGUAAGAUUAUAAGCAUUGUCAUAGCUGAAGGGAUUAAGUUGUGCAAUGACUUCAAGCUUAAGCAACAAAUGAAGAAUGAACAAAAAAUCUACAAGAUGAAUUUGGAUCAUUCUGUAGCCAGUUUGGUUUCAGCCAAAAAGAAACUAUGCCUCCCUCUAAGCAAAAACCAAGUAGGAAGCCUAGCAAAGAUAAGUUUUACCACAGUAAGAGAGGUACCCAUGACAACUAUAGGAUGAAUGAUACUAAGCAGUCAAGACACUUCCAAAGAAAGGUCAACAAAGAUACCCAAAAAAAGGUAGAAACUCCUUUAGAUGUCAAGCCAAUUAUCUGUUUUAAAUGUGGCAAAAUUGGCCAUUAUAAAAAAGAUUGUAGAGUUAAGCAAAAAAUUAAUAACUUAAGUGUCUUAGAUGACCUAAAAAAUAUGCUUUGUAAGGUAAUGUUAAACUCCACAGACUCUGAAUCAAGGACUGAUUCAGAUAAUGAAGAUGACAUUAAUCAACUAGACAGUAGUGGUGAAGUUUCUAGCCAAUCUUCUAGUGACCAAGCAUAAUGUAUUAAAGGUAAUUGUAAUUGUCGUCCUAAAACUAUAAAUGUCAUAAGACAAGAUCAGGAAUUUAUCCUAGAUACUUUAAGAAAAGUUGAAGAUGAAAAGACUAAGCAAAAUCUUUAUGAAGUUUUUAAGAAAUCUGUUGUUAAAGUAGAAGCCAAGAAGACUGUUAAUCCUUAUAACCUUAAUGAUAUCUUAAACAGGUUUGACCAACAGUCUCCCAAGGAAGUCAGCAUUAGGGAACUUCAUGAAGAAGUUAAGCAGUAUAAAAAAAGGAGAUUAAGGAGUUAAGACAAUUCAUAAGUUUAGGUCUCUCUGAUCUCCAAGAACAAAUCAAUAGAAUUGUCAACCAAGGAAACCUUAUGGAUAUUCCAGAAUCUUCUUAUGUUAAUGAUAAUGAGACAGAUACUUUUUUUUAAUAUUGUGAGUAGGGUUAUCUUCCAAAGGUGGGAAGUCUCCCUUACUAUAGUAGUCAAAGAUAAAUUUGUCUUUGAUAUUAUUGCUUUGAUUGAUUCAGGAGCAGCUGAAAAUUGCCUUCAAGAAGGUCUUGUACCUAUUCCUUUAUGCGAAAAGACUAGUCAGUCUCUAUUUGGAGCCAAUGGCAAAAGACUUGCCAUUAAGUAUAAAUUAACAUAUGUUCAUAUCCGUAACCAUGACAUCUGUAUUAAGCAAACCUUUAUCCUUGUUAAGGAUCUUAAAGAAAAAGUCCUCCUAGGAAUACCCUUCUUAAGCUCUAUUUAUCCCUUAUGAGUAGAUAACCAAGGUUCAGAAAAUUCAGCAAUAUGGGCUUGGCAUUCUCCACCUGCCAUAUCUAUAAGAUUCUUACUGUCAAGCAAUGGGGUGGAAAUCCUAAUUUUUCAAGGGAAUUUUCUGAACCAUCGAAGCCAAGGUUUUUUAAUUAUUGGGAUUAUCAGAGAGCAUGGUUUAAUGCUUUUCUGAUCCAGAAUAAGGAUUUCCAUCAUUCAUGGAUGUUCUAUUUUCCAUCUAAGAAUCAGCUUUCCUCUUUCCCAUUUUGGUUCUACAGUUGGUGGACUUAUUAUGGUCCGACUAUUAAGAUUCUUCCUAAGCCCAUCCUGGAUGGUUUUGAGCUAUUCAGAAGUUCUUUUGAUAUCCCCAGAGAACUUUCAGCUUUUCCCUCUUUACUACUCUUUUUCAGCAAUUUUGGCCUUGCUUGGAUAGUCCAGUGGGACUAUAUUAUCAUUACAGACGAAUCAGCAGCCUUUCCAUCUCUGGGAAGGACUUUUAAAACUAAAUGGUGGGAUGCCUUGAAAAAUGAUGCAUCUAUUGAUGCAGUCAAGCAGUAUUUCCUCAAGAACCCCACACAAGUCUCAACCAGUGAUGAUAUGUCUCAGUUUCUCCUCAAAAAGCAACAAUUACAAGCCAUGCUCGCAGCAGCUAAGACCCCUCAAGAUUUCCAGAAAAUCCUUGAAGAAGGAAGCUCAAGCUUCUCCCAAGAAAAUUCUUAUGCAGAGUCUGAUGAUUCAACAAGCUACCUUCCAGACAAUUGUGAUGACUGUGAAGGAAUCCUUCCUCCAAUAAGAAGAUCUAAGUAAGCAUCAGCCUUAUGUCUUCCAUCAAGAAUAUUUCAAGCUUUGCAGUUUCUGCACCAAAAGCAGCAAACAUGUGUCUACACAGUUUAAAUAAGCCUGUCAGAAGUCAUUUCAGCCGAAAGCAAGAUUUCGGGUCAAAAGUCAAAAGUGCUACAGUUCUCUCUUACUGUUCACUUUUACUAUUCAAGCACUAUUCAAGCACGGGUCUACUGUUCAUUAUUACUAUUCAAGAUUCCUUUUUGCCUAUUUAAGAAGGCUCGGUCCUCAUUUGUAAGCACGCUUAAUUUUCUCUCCCAAGCUUAUGCUCUCCCUUCUCUCUUCUUUCUCUCUCAUCAUGUAAGCCCUUCAAGCUUUCAAGCUUUCUCCAAGCUUUCCUACCCUUGUCCAUUGUAAGAUAUUUCUCCUUAUGUAUAAUAUAAAUAUGUUUUGAUUACCUCCUAUAUGGAUGGUUUUUAAUUAAGUUUUGUUUUCAUUUCAUUUUAUGUUCUUAUACCUCCUACAUGGAUGGUUUUAAUUAAGCUUUGAUUUUAAUUUUAUGUUUUUUAUUUUGUACCGCCUACAUGGUCGGUUUUAAGCUUAUCAUGAACUAACAAGUUUUUUGGUUCCUUCUCUUUAAAUUUCUUGUUGGAUAUCUUUUGUAUUUUCUAACCCUCUUCUUUGUUUUGAAUCAUGGCAUAAUUCCUGUUUUCAUUGCAUAUGACCUUGUCCUGGGUGUCUAUGGUAUCAGGAAAGCAUAAUUCAAAACACCAUAGACACCAUAGACAAGGUCAUAUGCAUAAGCUAUGGUCCUGUUUUCACUUUUUUUUUUUUGUCUAAAAUGUAAAUAAAUCUAAAUUAUUAUUUUUUAUUUUAAUUCUAAAAUAAUAAUUUAAGAAAUAGUAACUUAAUAUAUUUACAAAUAUAUACAAAAAUUUAAUUUAUUACCAUAAUAAAUAUUUUCUAACAAUUAAUUAUGUAAUUAGUAGAAAAUUUAUAAUUAGAUAAUGAUUAGGAUUUUUAUUUAUGUUUGGUUGUUAAGAAACUAUUAGAAUUUUUCUAAGCUAAAACUUAUUUUUAUGAAAUGUAUUUUCCGAUUUAUGAAUAUUGUUGAGAUUAAUUUCAACAUUUUUUUUAUUUUUUAUUUUUUACUCUUCAUAUGGAUAAUAGAAAGUGGAUUUGUGAUGCUUUCUUGGAUUUAUAGCAAUUAAAACGUAUUUCUUGAAUAUACAAUUUAAAAGUUCAAUUGUUAAAAUAAAGUUAUUUCUCGAAGAGAUUUUCUAUUUUACUUUAGUUAGUUUUGGAUUAGAAAUUAUACCUUUUAAUUUAUGCUCUCAUUAUUAUUCUAAAUCUAUUUGAGGUAAAUAUCAACUAGCUAGAUGUUGGAUUUGUUAGAUAAGGUCAUUCAUGUGUUCAACUCUCAAGUUUGAUAUAUAAAAUCACCAUAGUACCCUUCACCUCUGUGUCAAGGUAUCAUAGUAUUAAACUUUUAAAAAACAGUUUAAACUUGAUGCAUUGGAACGGUAUGAUCAUUAUUGUUGAAUGAAUCUAUCAUUUUUUAUUGAGUUAAUUUAGAAUUUUUACUAUUUUUGUUUUAGUUAGAACUUUUAGACUAUAUUUGAUUCCUGGAAACUUGAAGGGAAAAUAUAAGGGAAUAAAAUAGAGAAGAAAAAUAUAAGGAAAAAAAAAGAUUUAAAAUCACUCAUUUUAACUCCUUAUGUAAAUACUAAAUAAUUUUUAAGGGGUUGCUAUUCGCAACAUCUCUUUUGCUAACGUAACACUUUUUUGUUAUGUUUUUUUUUUUCAUAUAUACCUUUUUUAAUAAAGAAUUCUCUCUAACCUCCUCUCAACAUAUUAAACAUAAAUUCUAGUUGAUUAAGGGUACGAAAUAUAAUGAAUAACAAAAUUCAAUCAUCUUAUGACAAUUUUCAGAUAAGAUUUAUAACUUUCAUUUUUUUUUAUAAAGAAAUAUAUUGUUUUGACAUUUUUUUAGACUCUUGAUUACAUACUUUGUUUUAUGAGUCUUUACUUUGCGUACACAAAUAAUUAUUACAUUACUCAUAUUCUUAAUCAAUCUUUAGUUAUAUGCAAUAUUUUUGUUUAGGUUACAAAAAAAAUCAUAUUGAACACAAUAAAAAAAAUAUUUUUUAAAAAACCAUUCUAAUUAAAUAUUGUUUAUUUUAAAAUUUUAAUAAUAAUUUUUAUUUAAAAAAAUUGAGUUAUGAAUUUCACAUUAAAACAUUGAAUAUAAUAAAAUCAUUUUACAUAAUAUACUUUUGGUGAAAAAUAAUUUCAUAAUUUAUUAUUUAAAGAAAUUAUUUUGUUUUAAAAUAUAAGAAGAAUAUGAAAAACAAUUGAGUGUGAAAAAUAAAAGAAAUGAAAAGAAAAAAAACACAAAGUUUACGUGGGGUGGGAGGUUGAGUAGGUAGAGAUGAAAAGGAAGAUAAAAAUAAAAGAAAAAGAAUGCUAAAAUGUGGGUAGGGAUUGGGAAAAAGAAAAGAAAAGAAAAUAAAAAUAAAAAAGGGGUGCAAUUGGGACGUGAGGUUGGGGAGGAGAGAGAGGAGAGGAGAGGAGAGAGAGGUGGAAGGAAUAAGGAAGGGUAGUUUAGAAAUGUAAAAUGACGUAUUAGUAAAAAUGGUGUUGCGAAUAGCAAUUGAGAUUUUUUAAAUGUAUAAAUUUUUAAUUAAUUUUAAUUAUAUUUGAUUUUUAUUGAUAUUUUCGAUGAUAUAACAAUCCAUAACAUAAUCAUUUUUCCUAUUAUUAUUUUUUCUUUUCUUGGCACUUUCAAGGAAACAAAAAUAAACACCGAGUAAAAUUAUGAUUUUAAAGGUAGCUUAGUUAACAUUGUGUGUACUUUUUGUUGAACUCUUUUUGAAGUGGAAUUUUUGUUAUAAAUUUAUCUAAAUACCUAAAAAAUCUCGUAAGCAACAACAAUUAGGUUUCUGUUACAUCUCAUUUAACAAUUAUUAUAAAGCUAUAAUGACUAGAUUGGGUUAAAUCGUUCACAAUUUGAACCUUUGGUUUCAAAAUUUAAUCAAAGAAAAUUUAGUAACCAAAUGUUUAAAAUUUAGGAAUGAUGAUGGACAGGUUUUGAAACUGUUUCAAAUUUUGAUACAACUAUAAAAAUAGAAGAAAUGAAGACCUUUUAGCAUAUAGAAGAAGUUUCACCAAACUAAUAAUUAACAUAUAAAUAAGUAGGAUGAGUGUUUGAGACACUUCUCUUUUUGUUGGAUUCGGUUCUAGUCCGACUCAAGGUUAAUAUAUUUUUAAUUUCCACUUUGUUCAUUUAUGCAUUGAUUCAAAAAAAUAUGUCAUGUACUAAUGUUAAUUCAAGAUAUUAAUUACCAAGUUUUUGAAACAUGAAGUCAUGGUCCAAAGAAAACGAUACAAUAUUUUAUUUUUUAUUUCUAUUUCUCCAUUCUUUUGCUUAACUCACACGAAAUAGACUAAGGACUUUGUUUUAGUCAAGCAUCAAGAUGUCACAAUCACAAAGAAAAGAAAUUCAAACAAUGCUUUAAUGCAUGUUGUGUAUAUUUUCUCCAAAAAGCAUUUUAGACUCUUGUUAGAAUUUUCUCCUACGGAUUCUUUACUAACUUUAAUUAAUUGAAGAAAGCUAUAUGAAAUUUCCUACUCCAUGUUAAAUAUUAUAGCCUAUAAAGGAAAAUAAAAUAUCAUAAAAAUUAUUUAAAAUUUUAUAUAUAUUCAAAAUUUUUAUCAUAUAUAUAAAGGGUUGGAAAAAUGUAUAACAGGUUAAUGUGGUAUUUAUUUUUGGUCUAAAAUUUGAGUAGAUCUAAGUCUGACUUAAAUCUACUUAUAUUAUUAAGUGUUUAGGUUGUUUACUUUUUAUCAAUGUAUAAAUAUUGUUAAGUGUUAAAUUGCUUUCUUUUAUUAAUGUCUAAAGAGUUACACUUAUUUAUUUCUACAUGUUAAAAAUAUCUAUAAAAUUAAUUAUUAUAUUUUUUCUUAUUUUAAUUUUAAAAUUAACAAUUUAAGAGAUAUUAAUUUAAUAUAUUUAUAAAUAUAAAAAAAUAUUAUAAUUUAUUAUCAUAAUAAAAAUUUUAUAAUGACUAAUUAUGCAAAGUGUAGAAAAAUAACAAUUAGAUAAUUAUUAGGAUUUCUAAUUAUGCUUGGUUGUUAAAAAAUUUCUAUGUUAAAACUUGUUUUUAUGUAACUAUCUUCAAAUUUAUGAAUAUUGUUGAGAUUAAUUUAUUAAUUAUUAUUUUUAAUAUGGGAAAAAUGUAAAAAUCUAAAUUUUAUUUUUUAAAUUAAUUGGAUUUUUUUAUUCAAGCUAAUUACUAAACAAGGGUAAAUUAGAAAUCUAAGUUCAAGGACAUUAGCCAACCAAACUGACUCAAACCUAACGAAUCCAAUCUUAUUACUUUUUAUUUCCAUUUAAAGAUGUUUGUUCUAUUAAAAAAAACGAUUACAUUGGUUCAUUGUUCAUGAACCAAUCAAAACUAAACCAACCAAAUCUAUCUAUUAUAUAUCAAAAAAAAAAAAAAAAAAACCAUUACAUUGGUUUAGUAUUCAUUUCAAAACAAUGAACCAAUAGAACCGAUUCUAAUCGAAAAUAUAUAUUAUAUAUUAGACUUAAAAGAUGCAAAAUUUGAAGUUAUUUUUUGAAGAGACUUCAUAUUUUGCUUCUCACAAUUUACUAUAAAUUUAUGAAAUUAUUUAUUUAGUUGUCAUAUUUUAAAAAAAUAUUUUAUUUUUUCAAAAUAAAUUCACUAAAUAUUGUCUCAUAUGUAUUUUUGGUUCACUAAAUUUUUAAUAAUCAAAUUAAUAAAUUUGUAAAAGAAAAAUAUUAUAUUUUCUCCAUUUUGUUCACUUGAUAAAAAAAUCUACAAAAAUGUCAAGCAAAUGUUUGAAAUUUACCUCUUUUUUUUUGUUAUAUUUGGUUGAUUGUAUUUUUAAAAGCAUUAUAAAUCCCAAGAAAGUAAUAUUUUUUUCUUUACCAUUAUAGUUUCGUAGUGUUUGAACUUAUCUUUACCAUUUUUUUCUUCUUGAUCUAACUACAAGCUUGACUGCACAAACUUGGUCAGCAAUGAGAAUAAAAGUGAGGAGGGUGAUGAAGUUCUCCCUAUACUCUCCUCUCCCUUUUUAACUUUCCACCUUUUAAUUGUAUAUCCCCCCUCAACAGUAUAGUUUUAAGGUAUGUACACUUUAAUCCUGAUGGACUAAAGGCCCAUAAUUCAUCUCAAUGGGUCAACUAAAAUAUUAUGAGGAAGGUGAAGCCAUGGGCCUCUGCACAAUACAUUAAAUUGAUUAUGGCCCAAAACAAUACCCAUGCACAACCAAAUAUAGUUUAUAAUAUACGUAGUCCACAAAAAACAUUUGACAUUAAUGGGUGAAUUUAGGUGAUUAUGCUAGUCCAAGAAACAGUAAAAAGUUUUAUUUGAAAAUUUAUAUAUUUUCAAACUCUUAAUUCCUCUUUAUAAAUGUGGAUAAAGUUAGAGAAGUAAUGAUAAGAAUUAUUAAAAUUUAUUAAUCUUGAAGAGAAGUAUAGAAAAUGGGAAAUUAAUGAGAAUUUUAUUAUUAUCUUUUUUAGUUCCUUUAUUUUAAUUUUUUUUACUUUAUUUUCCUUCAAUGUUGUCUUUCCUAGUAAUAUAAAUGUGGAUUUGGGAAGUACAUAUAUCGUUAUAUGACCCAAAAAUUAUUGGUUAUAGAAUAGUAGAAAUUCCGUAAGAACAAAAUUCACAUACAUUUUAUCUGAAAGUUAAAAUAGUCUUACCAACUGUUAUAUAUCUAUUGGUGUAGUAGAUUUUGAGCUUGUCUUAAAAGCUCUCGCCUUUUGAUGCCCUUAGCAACUACUUCGCAAGCCAAUUUUCCAAACUUGCAACACAAGAUGGUUGGGUGGUCAUCCAGCACACCACCUAUGGUCAAGUCAGUGGAUAACAAGAAAAGAAAGUGUUGAGAGUAGAUGCAAAAAUAAAUAUGGGAAUAUGGGUGAGAGAAUAUGAUAAAUGAAGCUUAUUCUCUCUGCUAGAGCUUGACCGUACCAUCAGUGACCAGGCCUCGAUCAACGACCAGCUCUGAUUCUCUCUUUUCUUCUUCGAAAUACUCGUGUAUUUCAAAUUUGGAGCCGAAAUCUGGUCAAAGAGAAACAAUAACCCGAAAUUCAACCCGGUUGGCCAACCAUUGAUGAAAGGUCUCUAAAGAUUGUAGUCUUCUUCACUUCACAGUGAUGAAAUGCAUAGUCGGGGACGAAAUUGUUACUAGUUUUCAUUUUCCAUUUCUACCAAAACGCAUACAGGAUAUAUAUAUUUAUCAAUUCAUUUAGAACAUGCAUUUAUUCACAUGGAACAUACCUGAAUCCAUUUCUGAAUUUUGGUUGAAGAUGUAUGGAUCUUUUAAGGCCGAGGAAGGUAACCACCGUCACUGGAUUCUCUCUGGCAAUGGGAAGCGAGAGAGAUUAGGGUUAUGUUUUAUUAAAAAAUGUGAUAUAACAAAAUGAACAGACCCUUGACCUUUUAUACCCUCCUGCCUUAGGGAUCAUACCCAUUGGGCUAUAGGGCCUCACGAGUCUUAGGCCCAUUAUCUAAGGCUCGUGAUGGCGUUUGGGCUCUACACAUAGGUGGCCCAUACUCUUGAACGAACAGAAAAAAAAUUGAAGAGGUGAAUAGCUUAGUCAUGAAUUAUUGUGAGAUAUGUGAGUCCAUAUCUUAACAAUCUCCCACUUGGACCACAUAUAUUACAAAACAAUGUUCAUGAUAGUACUUUAUUGAGUUCAUCUUGCUAUUCUAUCUUAAUAUCCUUAAACAAUCCGGUCUACUAAUUAUGUUAACAUAGGAUUAAAGCGGCCUUCGUUAAUCAUAAUUUAACUAGACCCAUCAAUGAUCACAACAUUAACAAAAAUUAGCAACAUGGAUCAAGUAUGGAUGUGUAGCAUGGAAAUUGCAUAGAAUGUGAUCUUUAAUAUGUCUAUUUCCAAUUGGUCCUACUUUAUGACUAAAAAUAGUCAAAUUCCACUUUCAACACUUGAUGCUAAACUACUUUUGAAAGUCAUCAUUUUAAUUCAGAGUAUUCAAACACAAUGGUCUUUUAAAAAACAAAGUUUGUACAGAUAACAUAACAUAAUAUCACAUUAAGAAAACAAACACAAAAUCUAAAUACAAACUCCCACUAUACUAGCACAUCAUCAAUGUGUACAACACCCAUAUGUGUGACAUGCUUAUGAUAUACUUUGGGUGGCAAACCCUUAGUGAGUGGAUCCGCAAUCAUGGAGUUUGUGCUUAUGUGUACAAUUGAUACUUGAAGACUCUGAACUCUUUCUUUCAUAACCAAGAACUUGAUGUCAAUGUGUUUGAACUUUGACGAACUUCGGUUGUUCUUAGAAUACAAUUCUGCGGCUUUAUUAUCACAAUUGAUUCUCAAUGGUUUCUCAAUCCCAUCAACAAUUCGCAACCGAGUGAUAAAAUUUCGCAGCCAUAUCCCAUGGUUUGAUGCCUCGUAGCAAGCUAUGAAUUCUGCCUCCAUGGUGGAAGAAGCAAUAAGUGUUUGUUUAACACUUUUCCAUGAAACUACUCCUCCAUCCAACAUGAAGAUGUAGCCUGAAGUGGAUCUCCUACUGUCAAGACAUCCCACAAAAUCGGAGUCCGAAUAUCCCACGAUCUCUAAAUGACUGGAUCUACGAUAUGUGAGCAUAUAAUAUUUAGUUUUUUGUAAAUAUCGCAUAACUCGUUUUGCCUUUUUCUAGUGAUCCAUACUUGGGUUACUCAAAUAUCUGCCUAACAUUCCAACAAUGUACGCAAUAUCCGGACGCGUACAAACUUGUGCAUACAUGAGACUUCCUAUUGCCGAGGCAUAGGGAAACCUCUCCAUAUCCUUUUUCUCAAGUUCAUUUUUCAAACAUUGGUGCAAACUAAAUUUAUCGCCUUUUGCUACAGGCGUGUCUCCUGGUGCACAAUUGCUCAUGCCAAAUCUACUCAACACUUUGUCAAUAUAGGUCUUUUGUGAUAACCCAAGUAUACCUCUUGGACGAUCCCUAUAGAUCUGUAUACCUAGCACAAAAGAUGCAUCACCAAGAUCUUUCAUAUCAAAUUUACUAGAUAGAAAUCACUUGGUUUCAUGCAAAAGUCCCACAUCACUACUUGCAAGUAGAAUAUCAUCAACAUAUAGCACCAAGAUAAUGAAUUUGCUCCCACUGAACUUGAGGUAUAUGCAUUGAUCAACGGUGUUCUCCUUAAAACCAAAUGAAGUAAUCACCUAAUCAAACUUUCGGUACCAUUGUCGGGAUACUUGCUUUAAACCAUAUAUGGACCUUUUUAAUCUGCAUACAAGUUGCUUUGAAUCAUUAGACUCAAAGUUCUUUGGUUGCACCAUGUAUAUUGUUUCAUCAAUGUUACCAUUAAGAAACGCAGUUUUAACGUCCAUUUGAUGCAACUCUAAAUCAUAAUGAGCUACAAGUGCCAUGAUGAUUCUAAAUGAGUCUUUUGACGAAACCGGUGAAAAAGUCUCCUUACAAUCAAUGCCUUCCUUUUGAGUGAAACCUUUUGCGACUAGGCGCGUCUUAUACCUAACAAUAUUACCUUUUGAAUCCUGUUUGGUCUUAAAAAUCCAUUUACAACCAAUCAGUUUUACACCUUUAGGCAACUCUACUAGGUCCCAAACACCAUUGUCUUUCAUUGAUUUCAUCUCUUCCUUCAUGGCUUCUAUCAACUUUUCAGAGUUAGAACUUUGUUUGACUUGACUAACUGAAAUUGGAUCGUCUUCCAAACCCAUGUCAAACUCAUUUUCUUGGAGAUAUACAACAUAAUCAUCUGAAAUUGUACUUUUCCUUUCUCUAGUGGAUCUCCUCAGUGGCAUUUGUACUUGAGGUUCUUGAGGUUGUUGAGUUACCUCUUCAUGAACUUGAAUCGGUUCCAUAACUUGAGCAGGAGGAAUUUCAGGUGUGUCUUGAAUUUCUGUUAUCGACUGUACAUUCUGAAUAGUGUCAUCAAACAUAAUAUGAUCAUGUCCAGUCGUAGGAAUACUAACAGAUUCCUCUUCAAAGACCACCUUUCUUAAUGGUUCUCUCCCACUUAACUCAACAUCCUCAAUGAACUUAGCAUUACUCGUUUCAAAGAAGGAUCUAGAUGAGGGGUCAUAAAAUUUGAAACCUCUCGACCUUUCAGAAUACCCUACAAAGUAGCAGCUUACUGUUCUGGAGUCCAAUUUCUUUUGAUUUACCUUGUAAGGCCUAGCUUCAGCUGGACAACCCCAAACAUGCAAGUGCCUAAUACUAGGUUUCUUGCUAGUCCAUAACUCAUAUGGGGUUUUGGCUACUACUUUGCUUGGUACUCUAUUCAAAAUGUAAACUGCAGUUUUGAUAGCUUCGCCCCAAAGUGAUUCUGGUAAGGUGGAAUGACUAAUCCUACUUCUUACCAUAUCCUUAAGAGUACGGUUUCGCCUCUCUGCUACACCAUUUUGGCUUGGAGUCCCUAGCAUGGUGUACUGAGGAACGAUACCACACUCCAUCAAAUAUUUGUCGAAUGGCCCUGGACGUUGUUCACCUAAUCCGUCAUAUCUACCAUAGUAUUCACUUCCACGGUCAGAUCUGACGACCUUUAUUUUCUUGCUUAGUUGGUUCUCAACUUCAGCUUUGAAAUUCUUGAACACAUCCAAUGACUGAGAUUUCUCAUGAAUCAAAUAAAGAUAGCCAUAGCGCGAGUAAUCGUCAAUGAAAAUGAUAAAAUAUUGUUGUCCAUUCCAAGAAGCUGUAGGGAAUGGUCCACAAAUGUCCGUAUGUAUCAAUUCCAAGACAUCACUGCACCUAUUGGCAUCCUUUUUCCUCAUAUUUGUUUGUUUACCUUUAAUGCACUCUAUACAGACUUGAAAGUCUGAGAAAUGAAGCGGAUCAAGAAUUCCUUCUAACACAAGCCUUUGAAUCCGUUGAUUUGAAAUGUGACCCAAACGUUUGUGCCAUAACAUUAAUGAAUUCUCAUUUAUUAAUUUUCGCUUAAUGCCAUAAUUACUUGAAUGCAAGGUUUCAUUUCCAUUAGUGGCCUUUAUGUUCAAUUUGUAUAAUUUAUCUGUUAAACUACUUGUACCAAUAACAUUUGAAUUUAGAUAAAGACUAACCAUUCCAUUUCUAAAUGAACAACAAUAUCCAAAUUUGUCCAGACAGAGAAACAGAAAUUAAAUUCCAUCUAAACGACGGUACUACAAAAGUCUCUUCCAAAUCCAAAGUACAUCCAGAGUCUAACUGUAAUCUGAAAAGACCAAUAGCCUUGACUGCAACCUUGUUGCCAUUUCCCACAUAGAUGUAUCUUUCACCAUCAAUUGGCAUUCGGCUCCUUAGGCAACCUUGCAUAGUGACACUUAUGUGAGUAGUUGCACUCGUAUGUAUCCACCAAGUGUCAGUAGGCACUACAGCUAAAUCAAUUUCUGAACAAACAAAGUUGAGAAGUGUACCUUUCUUUUCACGCCAAGCAGCGUAUUUGGUACAUGUCUUCUUCAUAUGACCAGCCUUUUUGCAAAAGAAACAAGUGAUCUCCUUAUCUUGUUUCUUCUACACCUUCUACUUUGAUGUCUCAGAAACUGCAGUUUGUUUUCCUUUAUUGUCCCUCUUUCUUUUCUUAUUGGCACCAAAUCCCUGAGAUGUGGAAGCCAAGUGAGCCCUUUCUAUCUUCUCUUGUUUCAAUCUCUCUUCCUCUUGUACACACUGAGCAAUAAGCUCAUUCAAAGUUCAUUUCUCCUUUUGAGUGUUGUAACUGAUUUUGAAUGGACUGAAUUGUGUAGGCAGAGAGAUCAAGACCAAGUGCAUGAGUAUGUUUUCCGAAAACUCUAACUUUAGUGCCUUGAGUCUAGUCACAAGAUUAGACAUUUCCAUAAUGUACUCCCUUAUAUUCUCUUUCCCUUUAUACCGCAUAGAGACAAGCUUACUAAGAAUAGUGCUUGUCUCAACCUUUUCGUUUGCAGCGAAUCGGUUUGCUAUUUGGUCCAAGAAUGCCUUGGCUUGGGUUUCCUCAAGUAUUGCACCCCUUAUAGUUUCUGGAAUUGAGUGUUUCAUAAUCAUUAGACUCAUGCGAUUGGAUCGCUCCCAUUUUUCCAUAGUAGACCUUUGCUCAGCAGUGUUGGCACUAGUAAGAUCUGAAGGGCGAUCCACUCUUAAUGUAUAGUCUAAAUCCAUGUACCCGAGCACAAUUAUAACGUGCUCCUUCCAUUUCUUAAAGUUUGUGUCAUUAAGCACAGGAAUGUUAUUGACAUUUGCAGAUAUAGAAGAUGCUAAAAUAAUAAUGAAGCUCACAAUCAGUCAUAUAAUCAUCACACAUACAUGAAUAAAUAAAAAAUUAACAUAUAUAUGCAUGUAGACAUAUAACAAGACACCUAACACAAACAUCAAUAUUCAGUAUUUGGACAAAAAUAUUAACUUGUAAAUGGCAUCUUGUUCAAUAUUAAUUCAUAAAUAUUGACAAUAAAACUGAAAAUAAUAUGUUUGUCUUUAGACUAACAUAUUGAAUGUAAGAUAAACUUUAUAUGUCACAUAUUUAUGAUUACUUUAUUUAUUAUUAUAUUAAAAUAAUCCUUCUUUGGGUUGAUUAUUUUAUACAAUAAUAUCAUGCUUACAUAUUUCAAAACAAAUAAAAUUAUAUAACACAUGUUACUUUGGCAACAAAUAUACAUAACUUAUUCAUUUUUAAAUGUUAAACACAAAUAUAGCAAGCAAUAAUUUAAUUAAAAUUAUUUAUGCAUAAACCUAUGUAUAUAUACAAGCUUUGAUAACAAUAGAUGGGAGAAAAGGUGGGCAAAUGCCGGAGCGAAGCGGAGUGGAAUGGAGCGUAGCGAAAUGGAAUGAAUAUAUUUUUGUGGGUGAAUGACAAGUUGGGGGGGUGCGGGGGGCAACACCCCCCGCGGUAUGGUUCAGGGGUAAUUUUGGUCUAAAAAUAUAUAUAUUUUUUUAUUUCUUUUGGGCUACUGGACCAUGGUGUUGGGCUUUGUGGAGCCUAGUUUUGUUUGAUUCGGUUUGACGACCCGACCCGAAUAAUAUUGCAUGGCUUUUUUAAUGGGAGAUUUAUUGAGGCCUGUUGGGCCCGUUUAGCCCAUUGUGGAACCACCUUUUUUAAUUAGGGUUUUUUUAGUAUGGUAGGGUUGUCGUGCUAUAUAUAUAUAGAGAAUAUUGUAGCCGCAAGGUUGUACUCUGUAUUCUUCCCUGAUAAUAGUGAUAUCCCUACAACUCCGUGGACGUAGGCAAAUUGCCGAACCACGUAAAUAUUGUCUUGUGUGUGUGAUUGUUUUUUCUUUGGCGUGUGUUUUCUCUAUUUUUUGUUUCUCACGGGUUGGGAAUUCGGUUUAAUUCCCUACAACUGGUAUCAGAGCCUAGGGUUAGGUUUGAGUGGGAGCAAUGGCAGAGGAAGCAGGAAAGGCGUCUGGAAUAGAAAAGUUUGAUGGCACAGACUUUGCGUAUUGGAGGAUGCAGAUUGAAGAUUAUCUCUAUGGGAGGAAAUUGCAUCUACCUUUUUUAGGGACAAAACCUGAGAGUAUGAAGGCUGAGGAAUGGACGCUUCUUGACAGACAGGUUCUAGGAGUUAUUAGGUUAACUCUAUCUAGGUCUGUUGCACACAAUGUUGUAAAGGAGAAGACCACAGCAGAUCUGAUGAAGGCUUUGUCCGAUAUGUAUGAAAAGCCAUCCGCAAACAAUAAGGUGCAUCUGAUGAAGAAAUUGUUCAAUUUGAAGAUGGCAGAGAAUGCAUCAGUAGCACAACAUCUGAAUGAAUUUAAUACAAUCACAAAUCAAUUGUCGUCUGUAGAAAUUGAUUUUGAUGAUGAGAUUCGUGCUCUGAUCGUCUUGGCUUCUUUGCCAAACAGUUGGGAGGCAAUGAGGAUGGCAGUAAGCAAUUCUACGGGAAAGGAAAAGCUCAAGUACAAUGAUAUACGAGAUUUAAUUCUGGCUGAGGAGAUUCACCGAAGAGAUGCAGGUGAAACCUCAGGAUCUGGUUCUGCCCUAAACCUUGAGACAAGAGGCAGAGGUAAUAAUAGAAAUUCAAAUCAGGGUAGAUCAAAUUCCAGAAAUUCUAAUCGGAACAGAAGCAAAUCUAGAUCAGGCCAACAAGUACAAUGCUGGAAUUGUGGGAAAACAGGUUACUUUAAAAGGCAAUGCAAAAGCCCUAAGAAGAAGAAUGAAGAUGAUUCUGCUAAUGCUGUAACAGAAGAGGUACAGGAUGCAUUACUUCUUGCAGUAGACAAUCCACUUGAUGAUUGGGUUUUGGAUUCAGGAGCUUCGUUUCAUACCACUCCACACCGAGAAAUCAUACAGAAUUAUGUUGCAAGUGAUUUUGGUAAGGUAUAUUUGGCUGAUGGUUCGGCCUUGGAUGUUGUGGGUCUGGGAGAUGUCCGGAUAUCGUUGCCCAAUGGGUCUGUUUGGUUACUGGAGAAGGUUCGACAUAUUCCUGACCUGAGGAGGAAUCUGAUUUCUGUUGGACAACUUGAUGAUGAAGGACAUGCAAUACUAUUUGUUGGUGGUACUUGGAAGGUUACAAAGGGAGCUAGGGUAUUGGCUCGUGGAAAGAAGACUGGCACUCUGUAUAUGACCUCAUGUCCAAGAGACACAAUUGCAGUUGCUGAUGCAAGUACUGAUACAAGCCUAUGGCACCGCAGACUUGGUCACAUGAGUGAGAAAGGGAUGAAGAUGUUGCUGUCAAAAGGAAAACUACCAGAAUUGAAGUCCAUUGAUUUUGACAUGUGUGAAAGUUGCAUCUUAGGAAAGCAAAAAAAGGUGAGCUUCUUGAAAACUGGCAGGACACCGAAGGCUGAAAAAUUAGAACUAGUACACACUGAUUUGUGGGGGCCUUCUCCGGUUGCAUCCCUAGGAGGUUCAAGGUACUACAUCACCUUUAUUGAUGACUCAAGUAGAAAGGUAUGGGUUUAUUUUCUGAAAAAUAAAUCUGAUGUAUUUGUAACUUUUAAGAAGUGGAAAGCCAUGGUUGAGACAGAAACAAGUUUGAAAGUAAAAUGUUUGAGGUCAAAUAAUGUAGGAGAGUACAUAAAUGGAGGUUUCAGUGAGUAUUGUGCUGCACAGGGAAUUAGGAUGGAGAAGACCAUUCCUGGGACACCAAAGCAGAAUGGUGUGGCUGAGCGCAUGAAUAGAACUCCCAAUGAGCGUGCUAGAAGUAUGAGGUUGCAUGCUGGACUACCAAAAACUUUUUGGGCUGAUGCUGUUAGCACUGCAGCUUACCUGAUAAACCGAGGACCAUCAGUUCCCAUGGAGUUCAGACUUCCUGAGGAGGUUUGGAGCGGUAAAGAGGUGAAGUUUUCACAUUUAAAAGUUUUUGGUUGUGUUUCUUAUGUUCAUAUUGAUUCUGAUGCUCGUAGUAAACUUGAUGCAAAGUCAAAAAUAUGUUUUUUCAUUGGCUAUGGUGAUGAGAAAUUUGGCUAUAGGUUUUGGGAUGAACAAAACAGGAAAAUCAUCAGAAGUAGAAAUGUGAUAUUUAAUGAACAGGUUAUGUACAAGGAUAGGUCAACUGUAACGUCAGAUGUUACAGAGAUAGAUCAAAAGAAAUCUGAGUUUGUCAACUUAGAUGAAUUGACUGAAAGUACUGUCCAAAAAGGGGGUGAAAAAGAUAAGGAGAAUGUAAAUUCACAGGUAGAUUUGAGUACACCUGUAGCUGAAGUUCGUAGAUCUUCCAGGAACAUUAGACCUCCGCAACGUUAUUCACCUGUUUUAAAUUAUCUCCUGUUGACUGAUGGUGGUGAGCCAGAGUGUUAUGAUGAAGCCUUGCAAGAUGAGAAUUCAAGCAAGUGGGAGUUAGCCAUGAAGGAUGAGAUGGAUUCCCUAUUGGGGAAUCAGACAUGGGAACUGACUGAAUUGCCAGUAGGAAAGAAGGCUUUGCACAACAAGUGGGUAUACAGAAUAAAGAAUGAGCAUGAUGGUAGCAAACGUUACAAGGCCAGAUUAGUUGUUAAAGGGUUCCAGCAGAAGGAGGGCAUUGACUACACAGAGAUAUUUUCUCCAGUUGUGAAGAUGUCAACAAUUAGACUUGUACUUGGAAUGGUGACUGCAGAAAACUUACAUCUUGAGCAGUUAGAUGUGAAGACAGCAUUCCUUCAUGGUGACUUGGAGGAAGACCUUUACAUGAUUCAGCCAGAAGGGUUCAUUGUUCAGGGACAAGAGAAUCUAGUCUGCAAACUGAGAAAGAGCUUGUAUGGCCUUAAACAAGCUCCUAGACAGUGGUACAAGAAGUUUGACAAUUUUAUGCAUAGAAUUGGGUUCAAGAGAUGUGAAGCUGAUCAUUGUUGCUAUGUUAAGUCCUUUGACAAUUCUUACAUCAUAUUACUGUUAUAUGUGGAUGAUAUGCUUAUUGCAGGGUCUGACAUUGAGAAGAUUAAUAAUCUGAAGAAGCAAUUGUCCAAACAGUUUGCAAUGAAGGAUUUGGGAGCUGCAAAGCAAAUCCUUGGUAUGAGAAUCAUUAGAGACAAGGCUAAUGGUACAUUGAAACUUUCACAGUCAGAGUAUGUGAAGAAAGUUCUCAGCAGGUUCAACAUGAAUGAAGCUAAACCAGUGAGCACACCCUUGGGUAGUCAUUUCAAACUAAGCAAAGAACAGUCACCGAAGACAGAAGAAGAAAGGGACCAUAUGAGCAAGGUGCCCUAUGCCUCAACUAUUGGCAACUUGAUGUAUGCUAUGGUGUGUACAAGGCCAGACAUUGCACAUGCAGUGGGAGUUGUGAGCAGAUUCAUGAGUAGGCCUGGAAAGCAGCAUUGGGAGGCAGUCAAGUGGAUUUUAAGAUAUCUGAAGGGUUCAUUAGAUACAUGUCUUUGCUUCACAGGUGCAAGUUUGAAACUGCAGGGUUAUGUAGAUGCUGAUUUUGCUGGUCAUAUUGAUAGUAGAAAGAGUACUACUGGGUUUGUUUUUACUCUAGGUGGUACAGCUAUAUCAUGGACUUCAAAUCUACAGAAGAUUGUUACUUUGUCUACUACAGAAGCUAAGUAUGUUGCAGCAACUGAAGCUGGAAAGGAGAUGAUUUGGCUACAUGGUUUCUUAGAUGAAUUGGGUAAGAAGCAGGAGAUGGGCAUUCUACACAGUGACAGUCAGAGUGCAAUUUUUCUUGCCAAAAAUUCGGCUUUUCAUUCAAAGUCGAAGCAUAUACAAACAAAAUACCACUUUAUCCGUUAUCUUGUUGAAGAUAAACUGGUAAUACUUGAGAAGAUUUGUGGAUCUAAGAACCCGGCAGACAUGUUGACUAAGGGUGUCACUAUUGAGAAGUUGAAGUUGUGCGCAGCUUCAAUUGGUCUUCUAGCUUGAGGACAGGAGGAUGAGUUGUAGGGAUGAGGGAUUGUUUCUUGGAGGAUAGCGGUUUGAUGUUGGUGAUUGGACUAGUCUCCAAGUGGGAGAUUUGUUGGGCUUUGUGGAGCCUAGUUUUGUUUGAUCCGGUUUGACGACCCGACCCGAAUAAUAUUGCAUGGCUUUUUUAAUGGGAGAUUUAUUGAGGCCUGUUGGGCCCGUUUAGCCCAUUGUGGAACCACCUUUUUUAAUUAGGGUUUUUUUAGUAUGGUAGGGUUGUCGUGCUAUAUAUAUAUAGAGAAUAUUGUAGCUGCAAGGUUGUACUCCGUAUUCUUCCCUGAUAAUAGUGAUAUCCCUACAACUUCGUGGACGUAGGCAAAUUGCCGAACCACGUAAAUAUUGUCUUGUGUGUGUGAUUGUUUUUUCUUUGGCGUGUGUUUUCUCUAUUUUUUGUUUCUCACGGGUUGGGAAUUCGGUUUAAUUCCCUACACAUGGCUCAUCCACAUUAGCAAACAAAUUGUAAAAGAAAUUAAGGGCAUUUUCAUCUUUUAAGGGACGCCGGCAGUGGCGUUUCGGAUACUAAAGGACACCGACAGCGGCGUCAUAGGCUGUAAUGGAGACGGCGCCGGCAGCGGCAUUGUAGAGGUGUUCCCAAAAGCAAAGGGCGCCAAAAUAAUGCCAAAUGACGGCGUCUACAACGUCUUUCUAGGCGGCGUCGUAAGGAAGACGCCACAGCGCCUUCUCCGACUGCCUAAACGGUGCUAAAAAAACGCUUCUCCAAGCGAUCGAUCGCUAAGAAGACGCGCCACCAACAUUGCUGCCUGAAAUGCCACACCAUCCAAUCAGUGAAGACGGACGCAUGCGACACGAGCUGAAGAGAUUUGUAGGAAACCCCUGUAGCAGCACACCAAUGGCGCCACAGCGGCGCACCCCCUACAGCCUCCCAAAAACGGCACGACGUUGUGACUUGCAGCCCUAAAAUGGAGCUUGAACAGCACCUGAAGUGCGCCUGAACCGUGCCUAGAUCGCCCAAAACGGCCAGAUUUUUUGUUAUUUGUGUUUUAAAAGGCAUUUUGGUGAAGAUUGAACAUGCUCUAAUACCAAUUGUUACUAGUUUUCAUUUUCCAUUUCUACCAAAACGCAUAUAGGAUAUAUAUAUUUAUCAAUUCAUUUAGAACAUGCAUUUAUUCACAUGGAACAUACCUGAAUCCAUUUCUGAAUUUUGGUUGAAGAUGUAUGGAUCUUCUAAGGCCGAGGAAGGUAACCACCGUCACUGGAUUCUCUCUGGCAAUGGGAAGCGGGAGAGAUUAGGGUUCUGUUUUAUUCAAAAAUGUGAUAUAACAAAAUGAACAGACCCUUGACCUUUUAUACCCUCAUGCCUUAGGGACCAUACCCAUUGGGCUAUUGGGCCUCACGAGUCUUCGGCCCAUUAUCUAAGGCUCGUGAUGACGUUUGGGCUCUACACAUAGGUGGCCCAUACUCUUGAACGAACAGAAAACAAAUUGAAGAGGUGAAUAGCUUAGUCAUGAAUUAUUGUGAGAUAUGUGAGUCCAUAUCUUAACAGGAAUCACCUACUAUCUGGUUCGGCUUUCAAAUCUCUAGUUUCAGUUCUCAUGCUAGCCAUGUUCACCACCAUGGCAUCGAUUUACGUCACCGGCCGAUGAGUUCUCAUAUUGUUUCGUAUUGUGAAAUGAUUUUCAUUUCUUAGCUGUAAUAGUGUUUAUAGUGUGGUUAAUUUCUUUAAUUUAGGUUUUGUUUUGUGAUGCUUUGAUUUUGAUUAUAAUUGGUCUAUGUUUUUCAAAAGAAAAAUUGUUUUUAUGGAAAUCUGUUAUUGGUAGGCUAUGGUUGGAUUAUGAGAAUAAGGUUUAUUUGAUUAAAGAGCUUGAUAUUGUUAUUCGAUUGUAGCUUCAACUUUUCUUCCCCACAGUUUGUUAAUGCAUUUUUAGGGACUAUUUUGUUAUUGAGACUAAAUUAUAAUGAUACAAAGAGGGUCUUGACAUUGAAUGGAACCAGAAUCAGUCCAUCAUGGUAUAUGUUCUAUAGCAUUACAUUACAAUGCCAAAUAAACUGGUGAUGUGCAUAAGCUCUUGCUUUUUUCUUUCUUUCUUUCUGUUUUUUUUUUCUUUUAUUGAAACAAUCAGAGUUGAUACCAACCUAUUUUCAUUUUUUGAAAUUAAUCAUUCAGAGUAAUUGAGGUAAAUAUCUAUACUUACCAGUUUAAUAGUUUUUAGGUGUAAUCAGCCAAUGACACUGAAAAUUACAGGUAAAUAAAUUAUAUCUAUACUUUAUGUGGGGUUCUUUUUUUGGGGUUUUUGUUAUAAUAGACAAAAUAUAAUCUAGAGGUCAUGGUUAUGGUUCUUCAAUUUUAUAGGAACAGCAGAAGAAGUUAGCAACCUUUGAGAUGGAGUUACUUGCAGCACAGUAGGAAUAUUUUGUCUCAAAGAACUUGUCAGAAAAUAAGGAACUCCUCCUAAGAAAAAGCAUUUAGCUGAUGUAGGAACUAUUACAAAGUUUGGCCACAAGAACAAUAGAGAUGCAAUCCAUAAGACAUGGAUACCAAUUGGUAGAAUACCCUUCUUUUUGUAAGUUUCUCUCUUUACUCUUUCUAUGAUUUACAUAGAGAAUGACCCAGUUGGCACUUAACAAAUUGGCAUUUAUGUUAUAAGCAUAUAAGGGAUAAAAGCAGGAGGCUUGUAGCCUGAACUCUUAUUAACAUGAAAACUUUUAGGGAACUUCCAUUUCUCUUCUAUUCUUUUUUCAUUGUUUUGUUUAUUUUGUCAGUUUGCAAUAGUCAUCUUUCAAUAGUUUGCAAACUCCAUCAACCAAUUUGAAAAGCCUUGGAGCUAACAGGUGCAAAUUAUGAGAAUCUAAAAUCUUGUCUCUCUAGGAUUUUUCUAAAAUUGCUCAAUUGAAUGGAAAGCAGAAAACCAUCAAGAGGCCCUGCCCUGCACCCUCUAUACUCCUGUUUACAGAAAUUUGGAGUUUGUCUUUAUUGUAAUAAGGGAGACAAUAGUUUGCAUAAUAAUGGAACAAGAAGUAAUAUUGUGAUUCGCUGCUUCAAAAAGUAAUUUUGACAUAACUUAUGUGCUAAACUGCACUAAAAUGCUUAGCACAAAAAGUAUGUUAUUCUUCAUUUGAGAGCAUUACAUUGAACCUCAUAUGUUAGCAUCACUUUUGCCAUAACUAAUCUUUCUUUCUUUCCCCUUAUCCAAGACAAUGCAUAUUGAGUGAUUGAUACUUAAGUUAAUAGCCUUAGCACCCACAUGGGGUGAAGUUUGAAUCCAGAAUUUCCCAAUAGUCUUAAUACGCUUCCUCGGGUGUAUUCGAACUUAAGACGUCAAUGUUAAACCACCACCUUACCCAAAACCUUUAAGUUACUCGGUAAUAGGCCAACAAUGGGAUAUUAAGGCCACUAAUAGGUAGGCUAAUAGCCUGAGCAAUUCUCUUAUAAUGUUUAAUGGUUCAAAUGUUGACAAUUAAAACAUUUACAAAAGCAUGAUGACUUAGCCAUCGUUUUCAUACAGAUACUCUAGAAGCAGUUCUUGCUCUACCCAUUUGAAUAAGCCUUGAGUUUAUAUUGGGUGUAUGAAAUCAGGUGAAGUUUUCUCAAAGUUGUGAGUAUAAUCAAAGGGUUUUUUUUUUCUUUUCUCUAAUGAUGAGAAAACGAGUUCUUUAUGAUAUUCUAUUUUCACAUAUUGUAUUAUCUUUUCAUAUAGUAAGAACUAGACUGGUAGAAAUUUGGUGAUGGAAAAUCAUGAGUAAUUCUGUAUUGAUUUCAUCUUGUCUCUUAUAUUAAGAUAAGUAAUUAUUACCUUCUAGUUCUGUUAACUAGUCAGGAAGUCUCUUAGUAUCUCCGAAUUCAUCUGAUAGGUGAUAGAAGUCCCAAUGAAUAACUAGGGCAUUGUCCCAUAAGAGGCUUGCUUGAUAGAGAGUUAGAGCACCAUUUCUGAAGUUUUUUGGGCAUUUAAACAAUUUAUCAUUCCAUCAUAUUCUUGACAUCUGUUACACUUGAUUUGCCCACCCUAUGCACCCAUAUUUAAACCAUCUCAAACUCUGAUUUGUGUUGAGGUAUCCUGGAGUUUGCAGAGGGACGCCUUCUCGGGAAGUCAGGCUUACAUUGGCUGAAUAUACAUUUAGAAAAUUUAUAUGCUGGUCGACUGGACAAGUUAUCAUACGAGGGUUGGGUAGCAUUUAUUGAGAAUCAUUUAGAAGAUAUAUUUGAUUCCACAGACAGACCUCUGGAAGGAAGACGUUGGUGGUUGUCUGCUGAGGAUCCUUUCCAAUGCUUGGCUGCAUGUAUUAAUCUCUCAGAAGCAUUAAGAAGCUCCUCUCCAUAGACUACUAUUUCACACAUGCCUGUCCACCAGGUACUUCAUUCUCAUCAUGGUCACAUUCAAACUGAGAAAUGUUUACUACCGAGUGAAAUCAAAUUAAUCCCACCUCCCUCCUACUCCACCCAACUCCACAAUAAAUAAGAAAUCUUAGAACUAGUUUUUAUUGGAAUUAUGUUCUAAGCAUAGGCAUAUCAUUUGUUGCCUUGUGUAUUUUGUAUAAAAUCCUCCAGGUAACUAUAUAGUUCUUCUGCAUUUACACAUGGAAAAUGACAGUCACAUGAUUGUUCAGACCCUUCAGAGUACCCCAUUUGUUGCGGAGCAGAAAUAAUGGAUCUACCACUUCUUUCAUAGCACUACCUUAUGUUUGCGCUAUCCUAUUGAAGUAGGCUUGAGAGGAUAACAGAUAUUUCCCUGACUUUACUUUUGUUUUCAUAUUAAAUGCUUAGAUUCAGGUCAUUUGUUUGUCCAAAACUUAAUCUGAGAUUGUAUUGUUCUAUCUUUUUCAAGGAUGGCUCGUGCAAUGGCUUACAACACUAUGCUGCCCUUGGAAGGGACAAGGUAGUGGAAUUUUCCGCUUUUGGUUGAUCGUUGUGGAGUUCUAAUUAUGUGAUAUGGAAGCAUGGUUUUUGAUUAGUUAGGCAUAGCUUUUCACUCUUUUUCUGCUUUGAGGCUAAAUUUGUCUCAACUUUGAUCUUCUCUCAUUUUGAUAGGAAAAAAAUGAACUUUGUUAAGGAAAGAUAGUACGAGGAUAAGGAACUAGAAAUUGAAACCCAAGAAAGAAACCAAACUUUGUUUGAGUUUGGUGCAGUUUAUUUAAUUUGAUUUUUUUAAGUCAUCUCAAAGUAUGGUUGUUUCAAGAAAGGGGUUUAUCAUGGUAUUUGGCGAGUUCAAAGGCUACGGUAACAGAUCAGUCUUUGAAGGCCGUGAAUUUUAGUUAGAGUUUAGUAUUGGAGGAGAUUUUUUUUAUUUUUUUUAUUUUUAUUGAAGUUUCCUUGUUCUUUCAUCUUUGGCAGUAGAAGUUUGAAUUGGGGAUUAUUAUUUGAUUAUGCAGUUUGGAUAUAUAUAUAUAUAUAUAUAUAUAUAUAUAUAUAUAUAUAUAUAUAUAUAUUGGAAAUUAAAAUUUGUUGCUUCAACUAAAGUUUUAUAUAUGUAAUAGAAAAUAUAUACCGGAAAAAGUGGUAGGACCUUUUCAAUUUUGAAAUGAGAAUUUUAAUUAAAAUAUUUGAAAAAAAAAUUCAAGACUUCAGCUGUGGCCAACAUAAGUUGUGUCAAGAGAAUAAAUUAUGAAGCCCUAUAGUUGCGGCUGACAAAAGGCCAUGUCCAUAAGUACUAUAUAGUAUUAAAUUAUGUAGAUAUCACACCUUUAUAGCAGCAACUAUCAGCUGUCCCAACCACAUAUGGAGCUUUUAGUUGAGGAAAAAACAUGACAACGGGGAUAGCUUCACAACUUCUACUUGUGUCUUUUAUAGGUGGCUGCAACUAUAGGAUUUAUCUGCAUCCCUAUGGCCUUCGCGGCUAUGAACUUAACUUCUUGUAGUGUGUAACACUCUCGCCUCGUGUAUGAUUGCAUGAACUUGCAACACAUGUACUGCACAACUCUUUGUUAAUGGUUGUUAAAAAUAGAUUUCUAUUUUUGAAAAUUGAAAAUAAGAAAAUCUUGUUUGACAAUAAGAAAAUAGAAACCAAUUUUUCAGAAAUAGAAAAUAGGUUUUGUUCUUAAAAAAAAAAAAAUGUUUUCAAUUGUUUUCUAGGGUUAUUUUUUUAAAAAUAAUAUGAUAAAUAUGAAGAAUAAUUAAAAAUAAAAUGCUACAUAUAAAACUUACUUUUUUGAAAAAUAUUUGAAAGUAAAAAAUACGUUAAAAGCAUUUCAAAUUUUCAAACAAACAUUUAUCAUAUAAAUCUCAUAGAAUUAUUUUGGAAAACUAUUUUAAAAAACUAUUUCUUUUUUGAAUGAUUUUCAAAAUUAUUUCCAAACUAACUUAAAGUAUGUUUGACAGUGAUUUUAUGAAGUAUUUUUAAUCUUUUUAAUAUUUGAAAAAUAAAAAGUUUUAAGUGUUAAAAAAAUUAUAAGCAUUUCCUAAAAUCAUUAUCCAAUAAACUCUAAUUCUCUUUACUAAAGGCUUAUACAGGUUUUUAUAUUUUGCCUCCUAACCAUGUUAGAUAGGUGGUAACCAUGUUAUAAGAUUUUGGGUUAGCAUUGGCUAGUCUGCACUUAUAUGUACUUAAUUGUUGUUUUUAAACAUAGAAAAUGAAAGUAACUUGGAUAUAAAAUAUAAAAACUUUUAGAGGCUUACAUUAUUUCAAAUUUCAAAAUUUUUUAUAAUGAUUUUUAAAGAUAUAAGGUGAGUUUAUACUUUUGGUAAAAAAAAUUUCUAUUUUUUUAUAUAAAAAUUAUUACUACUUUUUGUGAUAAAAAAAAUGUAUAAAAAAAUGUCAAUAUACAAAUAAUAAAAGUUGAAAGAACAUUUUCAAUACAUAGAUUAUCUUAAGGGUUCAAAUGUGGGCUAAGCCUAAAACUUAAUAUUAAAUCUUCUCUCAUUCAAAUAAUAGUCUUUAUAAAUACUAGAAUAUCCUAAAUAGUUAUGGACCAAUAUUUCAAACAAAUUUCUCAAACAUUAGUAUCAAAAGAAACUUUCAUUAACCAUGACGAGCUCCCUGUUUUAAUCUAAAACAUGUAAAUAAACAUAAUUAACUUCAAUCUAAGCAAGAUUUAGAUUUGUAUUAUGGAUAAUAUAAAUCUAAAUAUUUUCUUAAAAGAUGAUCAUAAGUUUCUUAGUCCAUGACUUCAAUUAAUAGAAAAAAUAUUUAUAAGCUCAAUUUUGUUGGAAGACUUUUUAUAUUUUCCCGUAACUUACACUCCAUUAAAGAUUCAAGAUUAUUUAGAGUUAAGUACAGAUUGGAUAACACAAGUAUAAAGUUAUGAAAAGAACAAUAACUUUUAAUUGAAAAAGAUUUUGGAGAUCUAGUGCUCAAGCACUUGAAUCUAGCUUUCAAGGCUUGGAACACUCAAGUAUUGCUUGAGAGUACCCAAUAACAAGCACUCAAGUGGUGUACUUAUCUCGUACUUGAGCACUCAAAAGAGGGGUUUCCAAAAAAUAAGUUUGCAUACAACACUCAUUAAAAAAAAAUGAUUAUAUAUCUAUACACACACAUGAUCCAUGGUUUAAAUAAAACAUUUCUUAUAUUUACAAUAAUUUUAUUUUAAAGUAUUGUUAUUAUAUUAUACCAAUGUUGUUAGGCCAUAUUUUGCUAAACAAAAUGAAAAAGAAAACACAUUAUUUGGCAAAUAUUUUACAACUAGAGGUGAUGAAGACUAAUGUUAGUAAUUAGGUUUGCCAUAUGUUUCAACAAUGUACAAUUAGCUCAAUCACUUGAAGCUUAUACCAAAAAUAUAUUUGAAUAACAGACAAAAUUUCUGAAGGGUACAUAGUGAUAAUCAACUACCAAAUUAACAUAAACAUAAAAGUUGGAAGGACAAUUUUAAGGUAUAGAUGACUCUAAAAUAUCAAAAGUAGGUUGAGUAUCCAACUUAAUAUUACAACUUUUCUCACUUAAAUGACAGUUUACAAAUAACAAAACUACCUAAAGAAAAAUAAUUGUUUGCCAACAUUUCAAAGAUAGAAUUCUCAAACACUAGUACCAAAAGAAAUCUUCAUCACCACUAAGAAUUCAUCUUUGUAUUCAAUCUGAAACAAGUAAAUACACAUGAUUAGCUCCAAUUUAAGCAACAUUUAGAUUUUCAUAAUGGAAUAUAAACAACAUGUUCGAUAUUAUUAUUGCAAUUAUUGUUAUUAUUAUUAUUAUUAUUAUUAUUAUUAUUAUUAUUAUAUAAUUAACAACACAAUAUUAACAAACUUGGUUAUAAAGAUUGUUUAAAUUCCUAUAGUUUUCUCACUUGUGGUAUUUAACCAUACUCAAGUGAGUAUAUUUGUCAAUAAAUUUAGAGUUUCAACUAACAACCUAUAACAAUUUAUAAUUUUAGCUGUUUGCUUGUAUAUUUUUUUGGAAUUCAACCUUGGAAAAAAUCACACGUAUCUUAAUCUUCCCUAUGAAAAUCACAUUCUGCAACUUCAAAGAGUUGAACCCAAUUAUAAACUCCCUCCAUCCUCUUUCUAAUGACUCAAACUAGGAGAUUGAUUACCCUAUGCAUUGUAUUUAGGAACUUAAUUGUAGUAAGGGAAGAGAAACAACUUAUAUUCAUAUGUAUAGUUGAAGGGUCUAAAAAUAUGCCUCUUACUAUAACAUGAUUUGAACAUUUAAAGCAAUAUACUUUUAGUAAAUCAAUGUCCAACAAGACAACAAUUCAAUUUCUUUUUUUUUUUGUAAAUUUAAAUCAUUAUUUUCAAUUCAAGAAGUUAAGAAAUAAUAUAAUAAAAUAUAAGCAUAAAAAGAUUAAUAGCUAACAAAUAUGUACGUAAACAUGGAUGGCCUUUCAUUACGUUGCAAUGAAAUUCAUCUUACCUUCUUUUUGCAUGAUGUUUAUUAUUUUGAAACCACAUCACCCUCUGUAAAAUAGUUGAAUUCAUUGUGAUGAUAAUCAUAACACACCAAAAAUACAAUGAAAUAAAAUAAAUAAAUAAAUAAACAAGGAAGAAAAUAAAGGAAAAAGAAUCGUAAGUGAUGUAAGAUAUGUCACCUUUUCAGCCAUGAACUCCAUCUGUUUCCAUCUUCCUUUUCAGACGAGCCACAUUCACUGCAGUGAAGACAUAUAACCUAUCUCUGGUUUCAUCAAUGAACCGGAAAUAAGCCUGCCUCCAAGACUUCUUUAGAGCCAAACUGCCACAUACAGCCCAAAAUCCCACCGGAAAGCCCAAUCCCAUGCUUAUGAAGAACCAUGACAGGUCCCAUUCAUCUUCAUCUUCCUCCUCAUCUGUGUGAUCUUGAUCAUUUAAAGUGGAGCAAUUGGUUGAAAAUGGAGGCCCACAAAGUCCCAGGUUCGCCUCAUAAAUGGAUGGAUCAUUGAAUGUCGAGAAUUGGUUGGUUGUUGGAAUUGGUCCUGACAGGAGGUUAUGUGAUAGGUUCAAAUGGUUCAAUGAGGUUAUAGAAGACAUGCUCGGAGGAAUUGGACCUGAAAGGCGGUUGCAUGAGAGGUCAAGAGUUUCUAGCCCUUGCAUGGCUCCGAUCUUCUCAGGUAUUUUUCCAAUCAAUUGGUUUUGGGACAAAUUCAAGGUACCCAGGGUCGAGAGAUUUGUGAUCUCUUUUGGGAUCUCUUGUCAAAACUCAACCAAGAUGAAUACCCUAAUUUCAUAUAUACUGGAAUAUUUAACAAGGUGAAUACCCUAAUUUCAUAUAUACUGGAAUCUCCUAAUUAAAAACAAUGAGUAGAAAAAUAAUAGCGGAAGCAUACCUGAAUCCAUUGAAGGAGAAACCUUAUAGGAAGAAAACCCUUUGAGAUGGUCUUCCAAUUCUAGCCACUAGAUUCUGUGUCAAUUUCUCUCUGAGAGGAUUUUCAGAAAUUGGAAUGCGUAGUCGUAGAAUGGGGACCAUAACCCUAUUUAUAAACCGCUAGGGCAGUUUUAAUUUUAUCACAAUUAUAUUUCUGCCCCUCAUAGAAAUAAUAAUUGUCUAAUGGUAUCUACACAAUAAUCUCAUGACAAUUAUACCUUUAAGCCAAUUAAUCAAUUAAAAAUUAGAUCACUAUAUUUAGGCUUAAUUAAAUGAUAGCACACACAUUUUAAUUAUUUACAUGUGUGGCCCAAAUUAUAGAUUAAUUACAAAAAAUUAAUCUAACAAUCUCCCACUGGGCCACAUGCAUAUGUAAUCAAAUAAAUGUGCUUAACCUUAUGAGCUCAAAAUUUGCUAUCAUGUCCUUAGGGUAUAUCCGAACAAUCUCGUCCAUUAACUAUACUGACAUAGGAUCAAGGUGGCCUUUGUUACAUCAAUCGUUACUAGACCAAUCAAUGGUCACAUAUAUCUGCACAGCUAAAUGACAUAGAUCAAUCAUGAGUGCAUAGCAUGGAAAUUACAUGCAAUGUGAUCUAUUCAUGCCUAUUUCCAACUGGUCCAACUUAAAUUUAUUGAGAUCAAAUCUUUAGCAUAAUUUAACAGAGUGCAAUAAAAUGAAUACUUUAUUUCUGCAGAACACAAUCCAAAUGUAUAGAUAAAGUCUAAACAUAACAUAGAGCAAUAUACAAUGAAUAAUACAAACUCCCACUAAAUUUGGAUAUCCUCAAAUGAGACAACACCCAUAUGAGCAGUGUGCUCAUGAAAGACCUUGGGUGGUAAUCCCUUUGUAAGCGGAUCCGCUAUCAUGGAGUUUGUUCCAAUAUGCUCUAUGGAUAUCUGUCCACUCUGUACUUUUUCUUUUACAAUUAGGAACUUGAUAUCAAUGUAUUUUGAUUUUGUAGAACUCCUGUUGUUAUUGGAAUAUAAAACUGCUGAUUUAUUGUCACAAAAUAUCUUCAGUGGUCUUUCAAUACCAUCCAGAACACGCAGCCCAGUGACAAAAUUUCGUAGCCAUAUUCCUUGAUUGGAUGCCUCAUAACAUGCUACAAACUCUGCUUCCAUGGUGGAUGAAGUUACGAGUGUCUGUUUGGCAGACCUCCAUGAAAUUGCUCCACCAGCCAACAGAUAAAUAUAGCCUGAUGUGGAUCUUCUGCUGUCUUGGCAUCCAGCAAAGUCGGAGUCGGAAUACCCAAUCAACUCUAACUGAUCCAAUCUCCUAUAUGUAAGCAUGUACUCUUUUGUUCUCUGUAAAUAUCUCAUAACCCUCUUGGCUACUCUCCAAUGAUCCAUUCCAGGGUUACUUAGAUAUCUGCCUAACAUGCCAACAAUGUACGCAAUAUCCGGACGUGUACAUACCUGAGCAUACAUUAGACUCCCCACAGCCGAAGCGUAAGGAAUCUUCUGCAUUUCUUGACUUUCUAAACUAUUUUUAGGGCAUUGAUUAAGACUGAAUUUGUCUCCUUUAGCGACAGGGGUAUCACCUGGUUUGCUAUUUUGCAUGCCAUACCUUUGGAGGACUUUAUCAAUAUAGGUCCUUUGUGACAAUCCUAAAAUACCCCUAGAACGAUCUCGGUGUAUCUGGAUUCCUAAGACAAAGGAGGCAUCACCAAGAUCUUUCAUCUCAAAAUGUUUUGAUAAAAAUCUCUUGGUAUCGUGCAAUAUGCUGAUAUCAUUUGUGGCUAGCAAUAUGUCAUCGACAUAUAAAACCAGGAAAAUAUACUUACUCCCACUGAAUUUGUGAUACACACAUUCAUCUAUAAGAUUUGCCUCAAAACCAUAUGAGACAAUAAUUUGAUGAAAUUUGAAGUACCACUGACGAGAAGCUUGCUUGAGCCCAUAAAUGGAUUUAGUUAAUUUACAAACCAUAUUCUUUGAGUCUUCGGACACAAAAUUUUCUGGUUGUACCAUAUAAAUUGUUUCAUCAAUGUCACCAUUGAGAAACGCUGUUUUAACAUCCAUUUUAUGUAACUCAAGAUCAUAAUGUGCAACUAGUGCCAUGAUUAUCCUGAAAGAGUCCUUCGUAGAAACUGGAGAGAAGGUCUCUUUGAAGUCAAUUCCUUCUUUUUGAGUAAAGCCUUUAGCUACAAGACGUGCUUUAUAUCUUUCUACAUUACCAUUUGAAUCCCGCUUGGUUUUAAAUAUCCAUUUACAACCAAUGGGCUUCGUACCAACUGGUAAUGGGACAAGUUCCCAAACUUUAUUGUCUUGCAUAGAUUUGUACUCUUCAUUCAUGGCUUCAAUCCGUUUCUGAGAGUUGGAACUUUUCAUGGCUUGCUGGAAGUUGAUUGGAUCAUCUUCCAUCAUUCCACUUUCUACCUCACGUUCCUAAAGAUAUACGAUAUAAUCGUCCAAAAUUGCAUUUCUCCUCUCUCUAGUGGAUCUCCUUAAUGGCAUAUUUUCUUGAGGUUGUUGAGUUUGUUCUUCAGGAGCAAUGUCCUCAUUUGCAAUUAAGGGUUGAACAAUAUUGUCUGUUGGUUGAGGAUCCAAAUUUACUUGUUGAUCAAUGAUAGGUAGUGAAACCUGUACAUUAUCAAAAGCAAUAGUAGAUCCCUCUUCCUCCUCAAAGACAAUAUUCCUAGCCUGAUUUCUCCCCCCAAACUCAACAUCCUCAAAAAAUGUUGCAGUUCCCGUCUCAAAAAUUGACCUAAUAGCAGGAUCAUAAAAUUUAAAACCCCUUGAUCGCUCUGCAUAGCCAAUAAAGUAGCUGCUAACUGUUUUAGAGUCCAAUUUCUUUUCAUGAGGCUUAUAAGGUCUCGCUUCAGCUGGACAUCCCCAAAUAUGAAAAUGCUUUAAACUGGGCUUUCGACCCGUCCAAAGCUCAUAAGGCGUUUUAGCAGCCGCUUUAGUUGGCACCUGAUUUAGGAUAUAAGCUGUCGUUUUGAGUGCUUCACCCCAGAGUUUUUCGGGUAAAGUAGAAUGACUAAUCAUACUCCUUACCAUGUCCUUAAGGGUUCGGUUUCGUCUUUCUGCUACACCAUUCAUGCUAGGUGAUCCUGGCAUGGUGUAUUGAGGGACGAUCCCACAUUCCUCUAGGUAUUUAGCAAAUGGUCCUGGACGUUGUUCACCUGAUCCGUCAUAUCUACCAUAGUAUUCACCACCACGGUCAGAUCUGACGCUCUUUAUUCUUUUGUUGAGUUGUAACUCAACUUCUGCUUUAAAUGUUUUGAACACGUCCAAUGAUUGUGAUUUCUCAUGUAUAAGAAAUAGGUAGCCAUAUCUUGAAUAGUCGUCUAUGAAUGUUAUAAAGUACUGUUGACCAUUCCAAGAUGCCGUAGGGUAUGGUCCACAGAUAUCUGUAUGAAUUAAUUCUAAGACGUCUGUAGCUCUAUUGGCACCUAAUUUCUUUGUUUUGGUCUGUUUUCCUUUAAUACACUCAACACAAAUAUCAAAAUCUGAAAAGUCAAGUGAAUCCAAAAUCCCAUCGGACACAAGUUGCUCAACUCUAGAUUUAGAGAUAUGACCUAGGCGUUUGUGCCACAAUGAGGCCGAAUUAUCUUUAUUCAAUUUACGUUUUGUACCUCGUGAUUCCACAUGCAAGGUUUCAUUAUAGGACGGAACAGUUUCCAACAAAUAUAGAUUAUCAUAAACAUUAAGUAAACCGGUUCCUACAGCAUUUGAAUUAAUAGAUAAUGUAAAUCUAUUGUUUCCAAAUGAACAACAAUAACCUGAUUUGUCCAAAACAGAAACUGAAAUUAAAUUCCGUCUGAAAGACGGUACAACAAAAGUAUCUAUUAAAUCCAAAAAAUAACCAGAUUUCAAUAAUAAUCUAAAGUGCCCUAUUGCCUCUACUUCUACCGACUGACCGUCUCCGACAUAGAUGCAUCUUUCAGCAUCACUUGGUUUUCGGUAACUCAGGCAACCUUGCAUAGAAACACAAAUGUGAGUAGUAGCACCAGAAUCUAACCACCAUGUGUUUCUAGAUACUGAAGCUAAAUUAACUUCAGAACAGACCAAAGUAAGAAACAUACCUUUCUUAACACGCCAAGCAGCAUACUUGGUACAUUCCUUCUUAGUAUGUCCAGGCUUAUUACAGAAGAAACAUGUUACCUCAACUUUCUGUUUCUUUUGUUCUGGACCAUUAGAAGCAGCAACCUUAUUAUCCUUAUUCUUUCGUUUGCCCUUAUCCUUGGAAGUGCUAGCCAGAUGAGCAUUUUCGGUCUUGUCUUGCUUCAAUCUCUCUUCCUCUUGCACACAGAAUGAAAUGAGCUCAUUAAGAGUCCAUUUAUCCUUUUGACAGUUAUAACUGACCUUGAAUUGAUUAAAUUGUGCAGGAAGAGAGAUGAGAACCAAAUGCACGAGUAAAUCAUCAGAUAACUCGAGUUUCAAAGCCUUAAGUUUUGAAGCAAGAUGAGACAUCUCCAUGAUGUACUCCCGAACAUUACCCUUGCCUUUAUACUUCAUUGAAAUCAAGCUUGCUAAAAGCGUGCUCGUUUCAGCCUUAUCGUUUUUGGCAAAACGUUUCUGAAUUUCCGCAAGGAAGUCACUGGCAUUAGUAACCUCAUCGGUUACCGCACCCCUGAAAGCUUCUGGAAUGCCGCGCUUCAUGAUCAUAAGACUUAGCCUAUUUGAACGUUCCCACUUACCCCAAUAAACCUCAUCCUCUUGAGUACUUUCCUCAUUGAGUUCAUCGGGUUUGGGCAUUCUCAAGGCUAAGUCUAUAUCCAUGCAGCCUAAGAGAAUCAUCAUAUUCUCUUUCCAGUCCUUAAAAUUAGUCCCAUUUAACAUAGGGACAUUAUUGAUGUUGGCAGAUAUAGAAGUAGUUGAUAUAAAAGCUGAAUCGAGAACAAAAUAAAAUGAAUCAAAUAAACCAUCAUGCUCACAUAAAAUAAGCAAUUAAACACAUAAUCUUUAAAUUUAAAAGCAAAUUAUGACAUUUCAAGAUACCUAGCACAACAUUAAUAUCAAGUCUUUGGACAGUAAUAUUAACUGUAAGUGGUACUCUUGUUGUAGUGAUCAAACAUUGAUGAUAAGUUAUGUCAAAUAAUAAAUCUAUCUUUGGAUUGAUUUAUUAUUCACAUUAAGUUACCUUUAUAAUCAUCACAUAUUUAUCACCACGGGUAUGUAUGCAAUUUGACCAAAUAUUAACUUUCCUUUGGGCCAGUCAAUACCCGCAUGAAUCACAUACACACAAAUAUCUAACACCCCGAACAGACUAAUCUACACGAAAGAUGUCACUUUGGUGAUUUUCCGCUUUAAUUAGCCUAUUUAAAAUGCUAGAUCAAUAACUUAAAUAUUAAUAUCAUAAAAUGCUAUUAAAUAAUAAUAAUAAUAAUAAUAAUAAUAAUAAUAAUAAUAAUAAAAUAAAAAUUUAUCAACUCAAUAUUUCAUAAAUCUUAAUCCAUUGACAUAUAUAUAUAUAUUAAAAUAAUAACUCAAAGAAUUAAUCAAGGAGUAGGCUCUGAUACCACUUGUCAAAACUCAACCAAGAUGAAUACCCUAAUUUCAUAUAUACUGGAAUAUUUAACAAGGUGAAUACCCUAAUUUCAUAUAUACUGGAAUCUCCUGAUUAAAAACAAUGAGUAGAAAAAUAAUAGCGGAAGCAUAGCUGAAUCCAUUGAAAGAGAAACCUUAUAGGAAGAAAACCCUUUGAGAUGGUCUUCCAAUUCUAGCCACUAGAUUCUGUGUCAAUUUCUCUCUGAGAGGAUUUUCAGAAAUUGGAAUGCGUAGUCGUAGAAUGGGGACCAUAACCCUAUUUAUAAACCGCUAGGGUAGUUUUAAUUUUAUCACAAUUAUAUUUCUGCCCCUCAUAGAAAUAAUAAUUGUCUAAUGGUAUCUACACAAUAAUCUCAUGACAAUUAUACCCUUAAGCCAAUUAAUCAAUUAUUAAUUAGAUCACUAUAUUUAGGCUUAAUUAAAUGAUAGCACACACAUUUUAAUUAUUUACAUGUGUGGCCCAAAUUAUAGAUUAAUUACAAAAAAUUAAUCUAACAUCUCUCCCCAAAUGUUAUUGCUAGAAAGAUCUAUCAAAUUCACAAUUGGCAAUAUCUAUCAAAUUCCAUAUCUUGUCCCUUUACAACUAGCUCCAUGCGCUCCGAAUAGUAUUCAUGAAUUCUGGGGUCGUCAAAAUUUCUGUCUAAUAAGGUCACAAAACUUAAAGCAGUUAAAUUGCCUAAGCAUUGUGGGAUGAAUCCUGAUAAAUUGUUCAGUGCAAGAUCCAAAAUGUGGAGAUCAGAAAGCCAACACAAUUGCUCAGGAAUAUCUCCUGUGAACAUGUUGCCUCGUAGACGCAGAUGCUCCAGUGAUGGCAUUCUUUCUCCAAUCCAUUUGGGUAUCUCCCCCGAAAACCUGUUUUGUAAACUUAGAGUGAGUUCCCCAGUAAGAUUGUUGUCACCCAAUAUCAACAGAAUAAGUGAAGAUUUUGAACACAUCCAACUCGGAAUCCCACCAGACAGUUUGUUCUUGGAUAGAUCUAUGGUCUGAAGACUCUGCAAAUCAUUCCAAUUUUUUGGAAUCUUUCCAGAUAAAUGAUUGUUUGAGAGAUCGAUUACUGCCAAAUCCUUUAGUUUACUAAUUGAUGAAGGAAUGCUGCCAUUUAACAAGUUACCAGAAACAUCAAGGACUCUCAAACUCGAUGAUUCCCCGAUGUUCAAGGGAAUUGGACCUGAAAAUGAAUUGUUUCCGAGAAAGAGCAAUGUCACAUUAAACCAAAGUGGUAAUCGGCCCACCAAGCGGUUGAAGCUUAAAUCCACCAGGAAUGCUUUUGGGCUAAAGGAUAAUGAAUUGGGAAGCCUUCCAUACAAUUGGUUUCUAGAAAGAUCUAACCAUGAAAAAUCUAGUUUCCAAAGCCAUUCUGGUAUUGUAUCUGAAAUCCCCACAUUUUUAAGAACUAUUGUGUUAAGUAUUUUUUGAGUUCUAAGCCAGUUGGGGAACUUGGGAGAUAAUACAUAGCAGUUGGAAAUAUCGAUAGACAAGAGGCUGAAGGGAGGAAUCCAUUCAGGUCUCACGUGAAAACGGAGAGACUGGUUUUUGGGUGAUAAGUGUAAAGAGAAAUAUUCCAGUUUUGUAAGAUUAAUGAAAUGAAUUUCAGAUAUUACCCCUUCCCAAGAAUUCCAAUCAAGACCCAACUCAGUCAGCUCUCUAAGUUGUCCGAUACUUUUUGGAAUAGUCCCAUUCAUUAGAUUGUUUGACAAGUGAAGUCUCUUCAUCCGCAGCAAGUUUCCAAUCCAUGUUGGAAUUGGACCUGAGAUGGAGUUUUCACUCAGAUCAAGACUCUCUAAGUUGGUAAGGUGUUGAAUUGAAUUGGGGAAGGGACCAACAAAACUAUUAUUGCUCAAGUCCAAGGAUUUUAAAUUCUUAAAGAGCCCUAAUGAAUCUGGCAACUGACCACUGACUUGAUUACUGCCCAAGUUUAACUCUUCCAAGGAAUUAUUAGUGCAUGCUGAUAAUCGAUUCAGGAAUUCAAUUCCUUCACCUCCAAUACUAUUGUAUGAGAGAUCUAAGGUCACCAAGUUGCGAAGGCAUCGCAAGUUAACAUGGGGAAUCGGACCUUUAAUUGUACCACCAUUUAAAUAAAGAUCCGUAAGGGUACUGACGUUAAACAACCAGCCAGGCAAAGUAGUGUUGAAAUUGUUGUAGGAGAGAUCAAUGACCAAAACCGAAGUCAAAUUAACAAAUGUAUUGGAGUACUGAGGGAAGUGACUGAGUUCACAAACGGACAAAUGUAAUUCUAACAAAAAUGGAAGCAUGUUUACAGCUCGCAUCCAAUUUGUGGUUGUUUUACUAAGGUCCACAUACCCCAGAUCAAGGUAUUUUAAAGAAGAAAGACCAGAAAGCCAAUUUAAAUUAGAAACCCUCAUUGGAUAAUCUCCUCCUCCAAAAAGAUCAAGAUAACGUAACUGUGAUAAAUUUCCAAGAUGAGGAGGAAUCAUCCCACCAAAUCGUGCAUUAGAGAGAUUAAGGUAUCUGAACCUUUCAAAUGAGCCCAAGAAAUUUGGAAUUGGAAUUCCUUGAAAAUCAUUAAGACUUAGGUCUAGGUAAGUUAAAUGUUUCAAGUCAAGUAAGGAACCACUUAUCUCACCACCCAAAAGAAAGAAGCCACGAUCUCUGAGGUCAACCUUGACAACAUUCCCUGUCCGAUUGUUGCAAUCCACACCUGUCCACUUGCAGCAAUCAGAACCAAUCCAGGAAGAAAGCCUACCUGAAGGAUCAUACAGGCCAUGUUUGAAUUCAAGAAGCGCUUUCCGCUCUUCCUCAAUGCAAGCUUUGUUGAGAUCAAUGUCAUUAGAAUUGAUUGUAAGAGCUUCAACCAUGAGAAACUUCAAAAACAGAGAAAGCAAAAGAAUAAGGAGUGGAACGGUGGUUUUCCUACUUGCCAUUGAUGAAUGCAAAGUUGCACAAUUCUGAAUUGAAACCAUAUAAAUAAAUAAGAUUAGAGUCUUGGUCUAAUUUGUUUAACUAUUUCAAGUCUUCAUGCCAUCUAUAAAUAAAUGCAACAAAGACCUUUCAGCCAUAUAUAUCUGCAAUUAAUUUUACAUGUCACUUCUGACCACAAUUUUAUCCUUCUCUUUCUUCAUAACAUCUUAUGGCUAUUGAAACAUGUAUUAUUAAAGAAUCUAGACGGCAAUAAAAGCAUGAUUUAUGCCCAAAAAUACCCACAAAGUAAUGGCAUAUUAUAUGAUUCAAGUGUCUAAAGCUCUAUGCUAUGUAAGUGGAGUAUUAUCUUUUAAAAAUAUUUCUUGAAUGAGCCACCAUCAUCACAAAUUUUUUAAAAUAUGAUCACCUUCACUGUUUUUUUUUUCUCUUUCAAAAAUGUGAUUUUUUUUUUUUUUUGAGAAAUCGUUUCAUUUUUUCUAUCAUGCUAAUCCUUAAAUUAUAUUAAUCAAUGAGCAUUUGGCACGCUAAUUCUAUUUACAUUGGAUUCAGUUUCAAUCCUUCUCAAUGUUAAUACAUUUUUAAUUUUGAAAAAUAUAUGAUGCACGAUAAUCUAAACAAAUAAUAAAUUUUUCUCUAUUUUAUUGAUCUAAUAGAUUGAUUUAGAAAAUAUGUUAGGCCAAUACUAGUGUUUUAUUGAUCUAUUUUAUUAAAUAAAACAUUUUUUUACUCCUGCCAAAAUUUUCUCAUACGAACUAUUUACUAAGUCUAAUAUGGAUCAUGUUGAAGAUAAGUACAUGAAACUUCCUACUCCAUAUUAAGCAUUAUAUAUGGUGAAAAUAAAAUAGAAUUUUAAAUAAUGCUUUAACAUAUAAUGUAUGCAUGUAUUAAAAAAAAAAAAACAUCUUUUGACUCUUGCCAAAAUUUUCUCUUGUGGACGGUUAACUAAGUCUAAUAUGGAUAGUGUAGGAAGAAUAAUUAAUUGAAGGAAGGUACAUGAAACUUUCUACUCCAUGUUAAGUAUUAUAUAUGGUGAAAAUAAAAUAGAAAUUUAAAUAAUAUUUAAUGUAUGAUGCAUGUAUUAAAAAUAGAAAAACAAAAACAUUUUUUGACUUUAGCCAAAAUUUUCUCCUGUCGUUUGCUAAGUCUAAUAUGGAUCGCGUAGGAAGAAUAAUUAAUUGAAGGAAGGUACAUGAAACUUCCUAUUUUAAGUAUUAUAUAUGGUGACAAUAAAAUAAAAUUUUAAAUAGUAUUUUAAUGUAUGAUGCAUGUAUUAAAAAUAGAAAAACAAAAACAUUUUUUGACUUUUGCCAAAAUUUUCUUAUGUCGUUUACUAAGUCUAAUAUGGAUCGUGUAGGAAGAAUAAUUAAUUGAAGGAAGGUACAUGAAACUUCCUAUUUUAAGUAUUAUAUAUGGUGAAAAUAAAAUAAAAUUUUAAAUAAUAUUUUAAUGUAUGAUGUAUGUAUUAAAAAAAAAACAUUUUUUGACUUUUGCCAAAAUUUUCUCAUGUGGACCAUUUACAUGGUUUAAUAUGGAUCGUGUAAUAAGAAAAAUCAAUAUUUUCAAAAUUGGAUCGGUCAUUGAACUAGAAAAGUUAUCGAUUCAUGGUUCACUAGUCAAACCAACGAUCAAACCGAUGAUGUCAUAAAUAUAUAAUUUAUAAAUUAUUAAAAUUUAAAAGAAUUAUAAAAAUAAAAAUAAUAAUUUAUAUAUUAUUUUAAAAUUAAAAUUUUAUUUGAAAAUAAAAAAAUUAGAUUCAAAUUAGAAAUUUAAAUUAAAAUCAUAAUUUUAAUUUUGAAAUUUUGAAAUUUAUUUUUAAAUCAAAAACUUAUUUUAAAAUCAUAAUUUAUUUAAAAUUGUGAUGUUUUGAUUAAUUUAAAUUAAAAUCAUAAGUUUUAAAAAUCAUAAAGUAAAAAAAUAAUAAAUAUAAAAGAAAAUAAAUAAUAAUUAGAUGAGGUAAAAAAAAAAAUAAAUAAAUCUAGAAAGGAAUGGAAUAAAUGGUGGCCCAAAAUGGGAAGAAGGAAGGAUUAGGAGGAGGUGGUUUUUAGAUGGGGGUGGAACUUCUAGUGGGGAAGGGUUUUCGCCACGAGGGGAUAGGGGGUUUUGCCAUUGAGGGAGCGACGUCUAACCGACCAGUGGCCGAUGACAGCAACUCAGUGUCGAUGAAAAUAGGAGGUAGUAGCUAGGGCAACCGUGCGAGAGGGGUUGUUGGGAAGAAAAAAAAAUGAUUUAGAAAAGUUAUCGAUUCAUAAUUCACUAGUCAAACCGACGAUCAAACCAAUGAUGUCAUAAAUAUAUAAUUUAUAAAUUAUUAAAAUUUAAAAGAAUUAUAAAAAUAAAAAUAAUAAUUUAUAUAUUAUUUUAAAAUUAAAAUUUUAUUUGAAAAUAAAAAAAUUAGAUUCAAAUUAGAAAUUUAAAUUAAAAUCAUAAUUUUAAUUUUGAAAUUUUGAAAUUUAUUUUUAAAUCAAAAACUUAUUUUAAAAUCAUAAUUUAUUUAAAAUUGUGAUGUUUUGAUUAAUUUAAAUUAAAAUCAUAAGUUUUAAAAAUCAUAAAGUAAAAAAAUAAUAAAUAUAAAAGAAAAUAAAUAAUAAUUAGAUGAGGUAAAAAAAAAAAUAAUAAUAAAUCUAGAAAGGAAUGGAAUAAAUGGUGGCCCAAAAUGGGAAGAAGGAAGGAUUAGGAGGAGGUGGUUUUUAGAUGGGGGUGGAACUUCUAGUGGGGAAGGGUUUUCGCCACGAGGGGAUAGGGGGUUUUGCCAAGGGAGCGACGUCUAACCGACCAGUGGCCGAUGACAACAACUCAGUGUCGAUGAUAAUAGGAGGUAGUAGCUAGGGCAACCGUGCGAGAGGGGUUGUUGGGAAGAAAAAAAAUGAUUGAACCGGAUGAUUCGGAGGGAAUCGUUUGGUUUGUCCAGUUUGUCAGUCAAACCGUCAGUUCAAUCGAUCCAAUUCUGAUUUGACUACCUUCCAACCUAAUAGACCAAACCGAACAGAAAUCGUUAGUAACUGGCGAUCGAACCGAUUAGACCAACCAGUCCGGAUUGAUUUUUAAAAACAUGAGAAUAAUUAAUUGAAGAAAGCUACAUGAAACUUCUUACUCCAUGUUAAGUAUUAUGGUGAAAAUAAAUAUAAAUUUAAAUAAUAUUUUAAGUAUGAUGCAUGUAUUUUAUCUUUAAAAAAAAAAAUUAGUGUCUUGCAAGAAUUUUCUCUUGUGGAUCAUUUACUAAUUCUAACAUGGAUUGUGUACAAAGUAUAAUUACUUGAAGGAAGCAAAAUGAAACUUCCUACUCCACGUUAAGUAUUAUGGCCAAAAAUAUAUAUAUAUAUAUAUAUAUAUAUAUAUAUAUAUAUAUAUAUAUCAUGAAAAUUUAUUUUAUUAUAUAUAUAAAGGGCUAGAAAAAUGCAUAUAUAGUGGGUGUCAUUUUUUUUUUGUUUAAAAUAUGAAUACACCUGAAUUUGACUUAAAUCUAAAUAAAAUUGAAUGUUAUUAAGUGUUUAAAUUGUGUGUUUUUACUAAUAUUUGAAGUAUUAAGCUUAUUUAUUUUUACAUAUUAAAUAUAUAUAUAUAUAUAUAUAUAUAUAAUUACUAUAUUUUAUUAUUUUAGUUUUAAAAUUAAUAAUAUAAAAACAUUAAUUUAAUAUAUUUUUAAAUAUUCCAAACUAUCAUAAUUUAUCACCAUAAUAAAAAAUUUAUAAUGAUUAAUUAUAUAAUUAGUAGGCAAUUAACAAAUAGAUUUCUAGUUAUGUUUGGUUGUUAAGAAAAUAUUAAAAAAUUUCUAAGUUAAAACUUAUUUUUAUAUAACCUAUCUUUGGAGAAAGAAGGGGUGAAGGUUUUAAUGAAUUUGAAAACUAUAUAUUUAGAUUUUGAUACUUUUUCCUAAAUUCAAAAUUCUGAAAUUAAAAAAUUGAUCUAAAAAAUAUUCAUAAAAAUAUUUUUAUUCUAGUGAAUAAUUGGUGAGUAAGUUCAAAUGUAUGAACCUACCAAACCAACUUCAAACCUGUCCAAUCCAACCUAAUUAGUUGGGUUUGUUCAUUUUGGCUUUUCAUAGCAAUUCAUGAGAAUAUUUUUAUUCUACAUUAAUAGAGAAAAUAAAUAAAAACAAAUUUAAGUCAUACUUAGAUUUUUUUAUGACAAAUUUACUAAUUCAUGGUAGAUUAAUUUAUUAUUCUAAUUACACAAUGUUUAAGUAGUUUAAUUUUUUAUUUUAAAAAACAAGAAAUAUCUAAAAAAUUUAAAAAUAAAUUUGGUUUAUUUUGAAGGAGGAAUUAGAUUUGAAUAUUAUAAUAAAUUUAAUAGUUGAAAAAAAUGAAAUUUUAUUUUCUCAAAAAAUUUCACUAUUCCUCUUAAAAUAAAAUUAUCUCUGAAAAGUAAUAACCUAAAAAAAAAAACCAUCAUAAAAAUAUAUUAAUUAUAUUACAUGGAAUUUAUGUUUUAAAGAAAUAAUAUCAAUAUAAAUUCCAAAUUUUGAAGUUAUUUCUUUAAUAAAUAACUUAAAAGUUUGAUAAUUAAAUUGAAAUUAUCUUUUGAAGAAAUUUCCCAUUUUACUUUUCACAAUUUCCUACAAAGUAAGAAAUUAUUUUUCAAUUGUCAUAUUUUAAAAAAUAUUAUAUUUUGUUCAAAAUCCCCAAGGAAUAGAUCCAUUGAAUAUUAUUUCACACGUGUUUAUUGUUCACCAAAUUUUCAAUUAUCAAAUUAAUUAAUGUAAUGAAAAUUAUUGAAAUAUUACUUCUUGUUUUUUUAAUCUAACUAGUACCGGUCCUUAUGCGCAUAGGUUAGGGUAUUUUUAUAUACCCAUAAAAAGAACACCUUGUUGGUCCAAUUAAACAGUUUAAAUUGCUUGCUUUCUUUUUGUAGUGUCUAAAAUGAUGGUUGUUUGCAAUUCAGGUGUUGCUUUCGAUAUGUUCUCUGUUGAUGUACAAGACGACUGAAGCAAGUAUGAGACAACUGCAAGGAGCUGGACCCAAAAGUAGGUCAUGGGUCAAGUUUUGCAUUUUUAUGUGUGGGGGCAGACCCUUUCUAUAUCUCUCUCUAAUCUCUAUAUCUCUCUUCAAUCCUAAAAUGGACAAAAAAGAAAGGUCCAAAACAUGCUCUCAAUUGAAAAGAAGAAAUCUCUCUAUGUCUCUCUAUCUCUCUCUUCAAUCCUAAAAUGGACAAGAAAGAAAGGUCCAAAACAUGCCGGCCCUCAAUUGAAAAGAAGAAAAAACAAAGACUCAACUUUUAUAUUGUUUGAAUGCAAUCACACUCGUGGAUUUUCUAAUGUUUUGAUUCUAUUCUAACCGAGCACUUACUAAUUUUGAUAAUUAAAGAAGACAAAUUUUCCAUUAUUAAAGUUUAGGAGUGAAAGUGUGGACAAUUGCCCUGGUUUGAUUCGUUCAAUUUUAAGUAUAAAAUCAAAUCAAAUCAAAUCAGUCUUACAUGUUUUUAUGUAUGAAGAAUUGAACAAAUUAGUUACCAAAUCUUUAAAGUUUAGUCUUGCCGAUAUGAGAGAAAAAACAAAAUUCCUUGUCUUGUCCACAUGUCGUGGACAAUUUGUUUGAAUGAGGAAUCCAUGUCACCAAUUAAGCUCUAAGGUCACUGUCCCAAGGGAAAGGUUCAUGAUGAAAAAUUCAAAUGGUGGUUUAAUAUAUAAUAUAUAAUUUAUUAUUAUUAUUAUUAUUACUUUAUUUUAUUUUAAGAUGAGAGGUUCUUCAAGCAAGUGUAUUAGGCCAAUUUCUUCUUUUGUUACAUCAUUUAUUUAUAAAAAUAAGAUAGAUAUUUAAAAUAAAAUACAUUCAUAUAAGAUAAUAAAUAUGAAAAUAAUUUAGGAAAAAAAUACACUAAGAUAAUAAACAACCAUUGGAAGUAAAAUUUUAUUUUGCUUAUAUAUGGUAUAUCUUUUUUAAUAGUAAAUACUAUAAUAUAAUUAUUUAAUAAAUUUAGAAAUAUUAAUAUAUUUAUAUUUUAUUGUUAUAAUAUUGUAAAGAUAGAAACACAUUUUGAUUAUUUGUAUUUUUUAAUUUUAUGAUGAUUAUGAUUCGUCCCUAGCAGCGGCAAUGGCAAUGGCACCAUCUGAUUCGGGGUUCGAUCCCCGGCAACGGUGCCAUUUGAUUCGGCCCAAUUAGUGUCUCAGCUGAUUCGUGUCCAGCUGGUGCUCCUUGAUUGAGGGAUUAAUCAACAAAAUUUAUAACCUAUUACACCAUAUACUAGGGUAGCAAAGACAAAGCUACUAUAGCAUAGUGGCUCUAGGAUCGUUCACUGGGAUGGGUUUUCACUUCACAAAUGAUAUUAAUUCAAAGCUGAAUUGGUGUCUUUUCAUUUCAAGGUUAGCUUUAAAAGAAAACAUAAAGAUGUUUGAAUGAAAAGAGAUUGGUUUUAAGCUAACCAAAAAUAGUAAAUGAUUUUACUUACAAAGAAAAGUGUUUCUUGGAGUUUCAGAUCACUAGGCUUAGAUUCCUCAUACAAAAAGGGAGUUCCGGUCACUUGUUUCUUNNNNNNNNNNNNNNNNNNNNNNNNNNNNNNNNNNNNNNNNNNNNNNNNNNNNNNNNNNNNNNNNNNNNNNNNNNNNNNNNNNNNNNNNNNNNNNNNNNNNUCUUCAUUAAAAACUAAAACAACAAAACUUCCAAAUUAUGCAUGUGGAAACUUACCCGGCUUUCCUCACUCCAAAAGACAAAAAGCUUAGCCUCUCAUCCUCUGAGGAAAAAUCCUCAAAGUUUGGUUGGCUAGAAAUAAAAAGAAAUGAAAAAUGAAAGAGAAGGGAAAAACAGAGCAAGGCUCUGUAUAUUCUAUAUAUUGAUCGAUGGAUUACAUAUAUGAUGAUUUUACAGUGGAUGCAAGGGAGUUUAUAUAGGAAGGUAAUUUACCCUUCCUUGGAUACUUUCUAGCUAAGGAAUUACAUGAGUGGUUGAAUACAAGGAGAAAAUGGAAAUUAUACAAAAAUAUCUAAAGAAAAGAUCUAAAAGAGUCGGUGCAUAAAUAUCGGGAAGCUCCAGGAAUCAUUUCGCAAGAGAAAAUGGUGUCUGCGAGAUUUCGCAGACACUCAAGAGGGCUGUGAAAUCACUUCGCAACAUCAAGCUAUUCUCGUAGGGCUGCGAAGUUGGCUUCCACCUUGAUGUUCUCAGCUUCCAGCUUGCAGCAUAUAUCGGGCAACUUCAGGAGGAAAUCCACAACACUGUACAAAAAGGCUGCGAAAUUCUCGCAACAAAAGGCUGAUUCCGCAACACUUUAGAGUGAUUGACUUGCAAUGGCUGUAACUUCUAUAUUUCAACUCCGAAUUGCGCACCGUUUGAAGCAUUGGAUUCUUGACUUCCUGAGCUUUGAAAUGGUAUAUAGAAUGUAGAAAAUGGACUUUGGGAAGUGCUCCAAAAGUGCACAAGAAGACUGCAGCUGCUGUCCUAUGUUUUCUUCACUCUGUUUUUCCUCUCUCCUUACUUCUCUCCUUGCAUACUUUGAACGACUUUGGCAAAGGGAUAUGGGGCUCCAAAGCUUGGUUCUUCAUGAAUUUGAGCUCUUCAUAGCUUUGCCAUGGUUUCCAAAUAACUCUCCUCAAUCUUGGAUUGUUUUGGUGAUCAAAUUACUAACAAAAACACCAAAACUUACACAAUUUGGUUAGAAUUGAUUGCAAGGGUCCUUAACAUGUUAAUUGAGUUAAAAGGCAAUAACUACUACUCAAAAGUGUUUAAAAGGAUUAAUUACAAGCUACAAAAUAGCACUUUUUGAGUAGUAAUCACUCCCCCCAACUGACAUAUUGCUAGUCCCUUAGCAAUGAAGGAGAGAAAAAUAAAAUAAAAGUACCAUAAUUUACAACAUCAUGCUGAUCACUUCAAAAAAUGUUUAAGUGGCAUGACUGAUCAAACUCUCACAUGGAACAUUAAAGAAAUAAAACUCAAACUUCAACAAGAGUUAUCAAAUAACUUGUCUAAUCACAAUUCUUAAAGAAAAGGCAUUAUGCAAAUUUAAGCUUUAAAAUCAUUUCCACUUCCAAAGGAUCAAACCUUACUCUUCCACAAAAAUCUAAGUGUUAUUUAUUAGCUUCCGAAUAUAGUAUGUUAAACUAAUCUCUCCCCCCAACCUAGUUCUUUUUCAAAGCUUAGCAAACUAAUCAACCUCCAAUAGGCUAAGAACGCACCUCUUUUUUCACAAUUUUUUUCAUUGUAGGAGUACAAGGCUUAAAGGUAUUAUUUUUUUUAAUUGUCCAUGUAACGGGGGUCCAUCGAUGACUCCCAACCAAUUAAGGUUUAGGGCAUCAAGCUUUAAAGAUCUUUCAACCACUAACUCCUCGGAUUUUACCCCGGACUUUUGAGAAUGAAUUUUAAUACCCAAACACCUACAUUAUGCUAAACUCCACCUAUUCACCCUUGUAACGAGCAUUGAGGUCGGUGACUCCCAACCAAUGAAGGCUUAGGGCACCAGGUUUUAAAGAUUUUCACCAUAUACCCCUCAGACCUUGCUCGGGUUUCAAGGCAAGCAAACAUUUUUUCUUUCUUUCUUUUUUCUCUUCAAAGACUCAUUGGCCUUUUAUAAGGUGUCCCAACACUAUUAAAUAAGGUCAAAGGUACCAAGUCUAAAAUUUUCCUAAGUCAAGAGGGAAAUAGUUUUUCAUCUUAUACUCGGAACCUAUUGUGCACAGUGUGUGGAUAGCUUAAAGUGGAAGAACUAAGGUUGACUUCAAUAGAAGUUUCAACAAUUCAUCAACUUUAGUAAGCAUAAUACAAACUCUAAGUCAAGUAAAAAGACAAAAAUUCAAUUUCUUCCAUUUCAUUUUGAAAAUUUUUCCUUAAUAACCAUGGAGAGUAGAAUAAAAACUUAAAAAAUUUAAAAUUAAGCAAAAAACAACUAAAUUACCAAAAUAACUUAGCAUUAUUAACAAUACUUACUUCCUCAACUCUCCCCCCAACCGAGAUGAACAUUGUCCUCAAUAUUUGAAUUUGAAAAUAAGGAGGAAGGAAGUGGUACCUCUUUAGUGACAUGGAGUUUGAGUCGUAUAGGAGAAACCACAUGUUUCAAAGAAAGCAUAAGAGUUAGUGAGUAGAGGAAAUAGAAAAAUGCCAAGUUUAAACAAAAAAUGAUGUCUAUGUAUGAUGUAUCAUCAGUAAUACAUCCAAUCCCAAAAUGUAAGACAUCAAAACAUGGAAUUAUCUAUAUUAAUAUAAUAUGUAAAGACAAAAAAAUAAAAAGAUGAUCAAGUAAUGGUAAGGUCCUGUUGAGCUGAUGCAUCUGUGGUGGCCUCUUGAGUGGGUUGGAUCAAGACUUUGGCCUCUGUUCUGGUAGUCUCCUUAGGUGGCAUAGUCUUCUCAACUGGAGCUCUCAGUUGGUAGUUAUGGGAUUUGAUGGUUUAAGGAGGUCAAUAAUGGAGUGAGAGACUUUGUGUGUGUGAUCUCAAGGUGCUCGGGGCUCUCCUCUUCAGAUGCAUGGUCGCGGGGCUCUGUUGGCAUUUUAGCAACUUCCCUUGGCUUUGCAAAGUGUUUUUGCAAAUCACCCUCCAUUUCACAAGUCAAUUUCGCAAUUUGCAAGCCAUUUCUAAGCUUGGAGGUGAUUUCGCAACCAUUUUGAAGCUUGGAGAUCAUUUCGCAUCCAUUUCGCAGCUCAAAAGUGAUUUUGCAGCCCAAAAUUGAUUUCGCAGCUCAUUUCGCAGCUGCAAAAUGAGUGUACGGGGCUUCGAAAUGGCUCUCAUGUGCCAAAAAAUGGUUUCACAGCUGUAUCGCAGCUUCGAAAUGAGGGGAACUGUGCUGCAAAUGGCACUCGUGUGCCAAAAAGUGGUUUCGCAGCUGCGAAACACCCUUCCAAAUGGCGUCUUGGCUGCGAAAUUCUCGCUCAACUUUGCGCGCUUGUCUUCAAACGACCAUAAAUUCUUCAUUUUACCUCCAAAUUGCAUACCGUUUGAAGCGCUGGACUCCUGACUUCCCAAGAUUUCAAACAAGAUAUCGUAUGCAUAAUUUGAGCUCCAGGAAGUGCUUCAAAAAUGUGUCCAACAGUAGCGAAAUGGAGGUGCAACAUUUCCGUUCAUGGUUUGCACAGUCAUCUUCAAACGGCCAUAACUUUUCCGUUUCAAAUCCAAAUCCAGCACCGUUUGAAUCUGUGGACUCGUGACUUCCCAAGCUUUCAAAUGAGAUAUUGCAUGCAUAAUUUGAACUUCAGGAAGUGAUCGAGAUGUGUCCAACAAUUGCCGAAAUGGGGUGCGGCUGUGAAAUUGAGAUUUUUCACAUUUUGGGAUUUCGCAGCCAUUUCGCAGCCAUUUCGCAGCUGCGAAAUGAGGGUCACUGUGCUGCGAAAUGGCACUCGUAUGCCAAAAGUGGGUUUCGCAGCCGCNNNNNNNNNNNNNNNNNNNNNNNNNNNNNNNNNNNNNNNNNNNNNNNNNNNNNNNNNNNNNNNNNNNNNNNNNNNNNNNNNNNNNNNNNNNNNNNNNNNNNNNNNNNNNNNNNNNNNNNNNNNNNNNNNNNNNNNNNNNNNNNNNNNNNNNNNNNNNNNNNNNNNNNNNNNNNNNNNNNNNNNNNNNNNNNNNNNNNNNNNNNNNNNNNNNNNNNNNNNNNNNNNNNNNNNNNNNNNNNNNNNNNNNNNNNNNNNNNNNNNNNNNNNNNNNNNNNNNNNNNNNNNNNNNNNNNNNNNNNNNNNNNNNNNNNNNNNNNNNNNNNNNNNNNNNNNNNNNNNNNNNNNNNNNNNNNNNNNNNNNNNNNNNNNNNNNNNNNNNNNNNNNNNNNNNNNNNNNNNNNNNNNNNNNNNNNNNNNNNNNNNNNNNNNNNNNNNNNNNNNNNNNNNNNNNNNNNNNNNNNNNNNNNNNNNNNNNNNNNNNNNNNNNNNNNNNNNNNNNNNNNNNNNNNNNNNNNNNNNNNNNNNNNNNNNNNNNNNNNNNNNNNNNNNNNNNNNNNNNNNNNNNNNNNNNNNNNNNNNNNNNNNNNNNNNNNNNNNNNNNNNNNNNNNNNNNNNNNNNNNNNNNNNNNNNNNNNNNNNNNNNNNNNNNNNNNNNNNNNNNNNNNNNNNNNNNNNNNNNNNNNNNNNNNNNNNNNNNNNNNNNNNNNNNNNNNNNNNNNNNNNNNNNNNNNNNNNNNNNNNNNNNNNNNNNNNNNNNNNNNNNNNNNNNNNNNNNNNNNNNNNNNNNNNNNNNNNNNNNNNNNNNNNNNNNNNNNNNNNNNNNNNNNNNNNNNNNNNNNNNNNNNNNNNNNNNNNNNNNNNNNNNNNNNNNNNNNNNNNNNNNNNNNNNNNNNNNNNNNNNNNNNNNNNNNNNNNNNNNNNNNNNNNNNNNNNNNNNNNNNNNNNNNNNNNNNNNNNNNNNNNNNNNNNNNNNNNNNNNNNNNNNNNNNNNNNNNNNNNNNNNNNNNNNNNNNNNNNNNNNNNNNNNNNNNNNNNNNNNNNNNNNNNNNNNNNNNNNNNNNNNNNNNNNNNNNNNNNNNNNNNNNNNNNNNNNNNNNNNNNNNNNNNNNNNNNNNNNNNNNNNNNNNNNNNNNNNNNNNNNNNNNNNNNNNNNNNNNNNNNNNNNNNNNNNNNNNNNNNNNNNNNNNNNNNNNNNNNNNNNNNNNNNNNNNNNNNNGCAAUUCCUCUUGAUUUUGAUCAUCCAAAAACCUAUAUUACAUCAAAACAAACUAGAAUUAAAGCAUUGAAAUCAAAAUUAAAGCAUUGAAAUCAAAAUUAAAACAAGUAAAAAAAAACAAAACAAAAAGAUAUGGACUAGCUAGUCUUUAAAAAGACUAAGUCCAUCAAAAAAUUUGAUCCUGAUUUAGCUUGCCCGGAUCCCAUAUGAAGUUUGCAUUCCUCCCUUGAGACGUUCUCUGUAUGAUUUUGCCAUACAAAGCUUGGAGAAAAGGUGGAAGCAUGUGUUUCUUCAUCAAUUCUUUCUUGAUGACUAUCCUCUGUGGUUUUCUUUGUACAUUAACCUCAUAGUCAUCUUUCUCUAUGCUUUUCCCCUUUUUCUUUCCUUUGAUUUCCUCCCUAUUUUCUUUCUCUGUUUCACUCUCUACCUUAUGCUUUAGCUUGCAUGUGGGCAAAUCAACCUCUUUACCACUCAAAGUGAUAACCGUUUUAACUUCCUUCACCAUUGAAGAUUCUUCAUCUUAAGCCUCCAUUUCAUGGAUACUCAUGGAAUUUUGAUAAGGUUGAGAAGGAGAGUUUUCUUUCUCUUGCACUGUGUUGAGGUUGGCUAACCUUGAGAUUGAAUCUUGGAGAAUAUCUAACUUUUGGGCCAUAUCAUUUUGCAUUUCAUCCAUCCUUUUAUUCAAAGUACUCUCCAUACUGUCAAUUCUUUGAUUGAUUUGAGCAUUGAUGGCUUCUUGCUUUCCAACAAAAUCUCCCACGACCUUGCAAAGAUUCACCAUAGCUUGUUCAAGGAUUGAGGCUUGCUGUGGUGCUUGAGCAGGUUGCUGAUACUGAGGUGGCUGUGGUUUCCAAGAGAAAUUUGGAUGGUCCCUCCAAUUGGAAUUGUAGGUGUUGCAAUCACGAAACAUUUCCCUCUCGGCUGGAAUGGUAGGACACUCAUCCACCAAGUGCUCAUAAGAUAGACAAAUGGCACAAGGCAUAGCUUGCAAUGGUGUCUGAGAAAUGGCUUGCACUGGUUGCAUCUGGUUCAUUUCUAGCUCUUCCAAUCUCCUUUCCAUAGUUGCAAUCUCUGCCUUCAUGUUCAUACCAUCAUUCAAAAUAUACAUCUCACCCUUAGCUUUAGGUUGAGACGUCAUUCUUCCCUUAUCUCUAGCAUUUGGUUCAUCCCAUUCUCUUGAAAAUUCAGCCACAUAACUCAAGAAGUUCAUGGCUUCUUCUGCUAUCUCGUAAUCAAUAUAGCAUGCACAACUAGCAAUUUGUGAAUUAAAAACAGAGAAUACAAAAGAAAACAAAAGAAAAACAAUUCAAAGAAAGAAAAUUAAGGUAAACUAAAACCUAAAUAAAAGGUAUACUAAAACAUGAACAAUAAAGAAAUAAAAAGAGUUAGUAAAAGGAAAAGAAAAGUCACCAAACUUGUGAUGGAGAUCACAAGUACUCUUAAAAGAUCAUAUCACUGCAAAGUGGCACCAUCCCCGGCAACGGCGCCAUUUGAUUCGUCCCUAGCAGCGGCAAUGGCAAUGCCACCAUCUGAUUCGGGGUUCGAUCCCCGGCAACGGCGCCAUUUGAUUCGUGCCCAAUUGGUGUCGCAGCUGAUUCGUGUCCAACUGGUGCUCCUUGAUUGAGGGAUUAAUCAACAAAAUUUAUAACCUAUUACACCAUAUACUAGGGUAGCAAAGACAAAGCUACUAUAGCAUAGUGGCUCUAGGAUCGUUCACUAGGAUGGGUUUUCACUUCACAAAUGAUAUUAAUUCAAAGCUGAAUUGGUGUCUUUUCAUUUCAAGGUUAGCUUUAAAAGAAAACAUAAAGAUGUUUGAAUGAAAAGAGAUUGAUUUUAAGCUAACCAAAAAUAGUAAAUGAUUUUACUUACAAAGAAAAGUGUUUCUUGGAGUUUCAGAUCACUAGGCUCAGAUUCCUCAUACAAAAAGGGAGUUCCGGUCACUUGUUUCUUUUCCUCGCAUUAGAGAAUUAACAUAUAGUUCCUUCUCCAACCGGUUGCUAUACAGAUGCUUCCCAUUAAUGGGUUCAAACACUAAAUCCCUCUCACUGAUGCAACUUGCAAUGGUUCAUGCCUCUCACGAGCACUUACCAUUCAAGAUGAUCUUUAACCUUGGAUUACCCGUCAAAAGCUCGCAAGAGAUAACUAAUGGAUGUCUCCUUGGAGUCCAAAAGCUUACCAAGUGUUGGCAAUUCCAGAAAAUCCUACCUUCAAGUCACCUCCCAAAGGCUCGCAAGAGGUAAACUAGUGCAUCUCCAUGGUUGGAGAUCACUUGCCUUACCAAGUGUUGGCCCAGGUGAUUUAAAGGCGUUUUAAGUUAACUAAAAACAUAGAAAUCACUAACGGGUCACACUUUCUCUUCAUUAAAAACUAAAACAACAAAACUUCCAAAUUAUGCAUGUGGAAACUUACCCGGCUUUCCUCACUCCAAAAGACAAAAAGCUUAGCCUCUCAUCCUCUGAGGAAAAAUCCUCAAAGUUUGGUUGGCUAGAAAUAAAAAGAAAUGAAAAAUGAAAGAGAAGGGAAAAACAGAGCAAGGCUCUGUAUAUUCUAUAUAUUGAUCGAUGGAUUACAUAUAUGAUGAUUUUACAGUGGAUGCAAGGGAGUUUAUAUAGGAAGGUAAUUUACCCUUCCUUGGAUACUUUCUAGCUAAGGAAUUACAUGAGUGGUUGAAUACAAGGAGAAAAUGGAAAUUAUAUAAAAAUAUCUAAAGAAAAGAUCUAAAAGAGUCGGUGCAUAAAUAUCGGGAAGCUCCAGGAAUCAUUUCGCAAGAGAAAAUGGUGUUUGCGAGAUUUCGCAGACACUCAAGAGGGCUGCGAAAUCACUUCGCAACAUCAAGCUAUUCUCGUAGGGCUGCGAAGUUGGCUUCCACCUUGAUGUUCUCAGCUUCCAGCUUGCGGCAUAUAUCGGGCAACUUCAGGAGGAAAUCCACAACACUGUACAAAAAGGCUGCGAAAUUCUCGCAACAAAAGGCUGAUUCCGCAACACUUUAGAGUGAUUGACUUGCAAUGGCUGUAACUUCUAUAUUUCAACUCCGAAUUGCACACUGUUUGAAGCAUUGGAUUCUUGACUUCCUGAGCUUUGAAAUGGUAUAUAGAAUGUAGAAAAUGGACUUCGGGAAGUGCUCCAAAAGUGCACAAGAAGACUGCAGCUGCUGUCCUAUGUUUUCUUCACUCUGUUUUUCCUCUCUCCUUGCUUCUCUCCUUGCAUACUUUGAACGACUUUGGCAAAGGGAUAUGGGGCUCCAAAGCUUGGUUCUUCAUGAAUUUGAGCUCUUCAUAGCUUUGCCAUGGUUUCCAAAUAACUCUCCUCAAUCUUGGAUUGUUUUGGUGAUCAAAUUACUAACAAAAACACCAAAACUUACACAAUUUGGUUAGAAUUGAUUGCAAGGGUCCUUAACAUGUUAAUUGAGUUAAAAGGCAAUAACUACUACUCAAAAGUGUUUAAAAGGAUUAAUUACAAGCUACAAAAUAGCACUUUUUGAGUAGUAAUCAGAUUAAAUUAUAAUAUUAUAAUUUGUUUUCUUCUACUUUCGUGAAAUCAAAUAUAGGAAAAGUACUCUUAGACAUUUCAAAGCAAUUAUUGUUGAUUUUAAAUUAACAAGAUAAAAAACAUUAAUAGUUUGUCAAAAAUUGUUAUUCGAUUUUCUAUUUGCAACAUGAAGAUCCAAAAAAUUCAUAGUUCCUAUAAUGUUUGAACAUAUCUUUACCAUUUUUUUUCUUCUUGAUCUAACAACAAGCUUGACUGCACAAAAGUGAUGAGGGUGAUGUUCUUCCUAUGCUCUCCUCUCCUUUUUUUAACUUUUAUAUCCCCCCUCAACAGUAUAGUUUUAAGGUAUAUCACUUUAAUCCUGAUGGACUAAAGGCCCAUAAUUUAUCUCAAUGGGUCAAAGUGAAGCCAUGGGCCUCUUCACAGUACGUUAAAUUGAUUAUGGCCCAAAACAAUACCCAUGCACAACCAAAUAUAGUUUACAAUAGACCUAGUUCACAGUACAUUAAAUCGUUUUUCCAACUACAUUGCUACCAUCAUUGACGUCCUCAUCACUAACGAGGCCUAGACUCCGAUUCUCUCUUUUCUUCUCCGAAAUACUCUUGUGUAUUUCAAAUUCAGAGCCAAAAUCUGGUCAAAGAGAAACAACAACCCGAAAUUCAGCCCGAUCGACCAACUAUUGAUGAGAGGUCUUUAAAGAUUGUAGUCUUCUUCGCUUCAUAGUGAAGAAAUGCAUAGUCGGGGACCGAAUCACCGGCUAUUUGGUUCGGCUUUCAGAUCUCAAGUUUUGGUUCUCAUGCUAGCCAUGUUGACACCAUGGCAUGGAUUUACGUUGUCAGCCGGUGAGUUCUGGCACUGUUUCAUGUUGUGAAUUGAUUUUCGUUUCUUAGCUGUAAUAGUGCUUUAUGGUGUGGUUAAUUUCAUUGAUUUAGGUUUUUGUUUUGUGAUGCUUUGAUUUUGAUUAUAAUUGGUCUAUUUGUUUCAAAAAAAAGAAAAUGUUUUUAUGGAAAUCUGUUUUCGGUAGGCUACGGCUGGAUUAUGAGAAUGGGGCUUAUUUGAUUAAAGGCUGGAUAGGAGAACUAGUCAGGUAUGUUUUUUUAUCUUUACUUUUAUGUAUUACCAUUUGUUAUUCAAUUGUAGCUUCAAAUUUUCUUCCCCACAGUUUGUUAAUGCAUUUUUUGGGACUAUUUUGUUAUCGAGAUUAAAUUAUAGAAUUAUAAUGAUACAAAGGGGGUCUUGACAUUGUAUGGAACCAGAAUCAGUCCAUCAUGGUUUAAAUUAAUUAUACGUUCUAUAGCAUUACAUUACAAUGCCAAAUAAAUUAGUGAUUUGCAUGAGCUCAUGCCUUUUUCUUUCUUUCUUUCUGUUUUUGUCUUUUUUUUUUCUUUUAUUGAAACUAUUUGAGAUGAUACCAGCCUUUUUUUAAAAAAAAAUUAAUCAUUCGGAGUAAUUGACUAGAUAAUGGGUUUUUCCAUUUUAAUGGUUUUUGCGUGCAAUCAGCCAAUGACACACUGAAAAUUAUAGCAUGCAAGUAAAUAACUUAUACCUAUCCUUCCUUUAUGUGGGGUUCUUUUUUUGGGGCUUUUGUUAUAAUAGACAAAAUAUAAUCUAAAGGUCAUGGUGAUGGUUCUUUUAUUUUAUAGGAAACAACACAAGAAGUUAGCAGCCCUUGAGAUGGAGCUAGCGGCAGCACAGCAGGAAGAUUUUGCCUCAAAGAACUUGUUAGAAAAUAAGGGGACUCCUCCCAAGAAAAGGCUUUUAGCUGUUGUUGGAAUUAUUACAAAGUUUAGCCACAAGAACAAUAGAGAUGCAAUCUGUAAGGGCAUGGAUGCCAACUGGUAGAAUGCCCUUCUUUUUAUAAGUUUCGCUCUUUAUUCUUUGUAUGAUUUACAUAGAGAAUGACCCAGUUGGCACUUAACACAUUGACAUUUCUGUUAUAAGCAUAUAAGGGAUAAAAAUAGGAGGCUCGUAGGCUGAACUCUUAUUAACAUGAAACCUUUUAGUGAACUUCCAUUUCUCAUCUAUUCUUUUUUCAUUGUCUUGUUUAUUUUCUCAGUUUGCAAUGGUCAUUUUCAAUAGUUUGCAAACUCCAUCAACCAAUUUGAAAAGCCUUGGAGCUAACAAGUACAAAUUAUGAGAAACUAAAAUCUUGUUUCUCUAGGAUUUUUCUAAAGUUGCUCAAAUGAAUGGAAAGCAGAAAACUAUCAAGAGGCCCUACCGCUGCCUUGCACCCUCUAUACCCCUAUUUACAAAAAAUUGGAGUUUGUCUUUAAUGUAAUAAAGGAGACAAUAGUUUGCAUAAUAAUGGAACAUGAAGUAAUAUUGUGAUUCACUACUGCAAAAAGUAAUAUUGACAUAACUUAUGUGCUCAAUUACACUUACAUGCUUAGCACAAAAGUAUGUUAUUCUUCAUUUGAGAAUAUUACUUUAAACCUUAUAUGUUAGCAUCACUUUUUCCAUAACUAAUCUUUCUUUCUUUCUCCUUAUCCAAGACAAUGCAUAUCGAGUGAUUGAUACUUAAGUUAAUAGCCUUAGCACCCACAUGAGGUGAAGUUUGAAUCCAGAAUUUCCUAAUAGUCUUAAUACGCUUCCUCAAGCGUGUUCAAACUUAAGACAUCAAUGUUAAACCACCACUUUACCCAAAACUUUUAAGUUACGCAGUAAUAGGCCAGCAAUGGGAUAUUAAGGCGACUGACAGGUAGGUUAAUAGCUUGAGCAAUUCUCUUAUAAUGUUUAAUGGUUUAAAUGUUGACAAUUAAAACACUUACAAAAGCAUGAUGACUUACCCAUCGUUUUCAUACAGAUACUCUGAAGCAACUCUUGCUACUCAUUUGAAUAAGCCUCGAGUUUAUAUUGGGUGUAUGAAAUCAGGCAAAGUUUUCUCAAAAGUUGUGAGUAUAAUCAAAGUUUUUUUUUCUCUAAUGAUGAGAAAACGAGUUGUUUAUGAUAUUCUACUUUCAUAUAUUGUAUUAUCUUUUCAUAUUGUCUGAAUUAUGUGAGAUCCACAAGUGGUAAGAACCAGAUUGGUAGAAAUUUGGUGAUGGAAAAUCAUGAGUACUUUUGUGUUGAUUUCAUCUGGUCUCUUAUAUUAGGAUAAGUAAUUAUUACUUUCUAGUUCUGUUAACUAGUCAAGAAGUCUCUUAGCAUCUCUGAAUUCAUCUGAUAAGUGAUAGAAGUCCCAAUGAACAACUAGGGCAUUGUCCCAUAAGAGGCUUGCUUGAUAGGGAGAAGUUUUUUAGGCAUUUAAACAAUUUAUCAUUCCAUCAUAUUCUUGUCAUCAAUUACACUUAAUUUGCCUACCCUUGCACCCAUAUUUUAACCAUCUCAACUCUAAUUUGUGUCAAGGUAUCCUAGAGUCUACAUAGGGAUGCCUUCUCGGGAAGUCAAGCUUACAUUGGUUGAAGAUACAUUUAGCAAAUUUAUAUGCUAGAGUGGACAAGUUAUCAUAUGAGGGUUAGGUAGCAUUUACUGAGAAUCAUUUGGAAGAUAUCUUUGAGUCCGCAGAUAAACCUCUGGAAGGAAGACAUUGGUGAUUGUUUGUCGGGGAUCCUUUUCAAUGCUUGUCAGCGUGUAUUAAUCUAUCAGAUGCAUUAAGAAGCUCCCCUCCAGAGACUACCAUUUCACACAUGCCUGUCCACCAGGUACUUCAUUCUUAGCAUGGUCACAUUCAAACUGAGAAAUGUUUACCAAGUGAAAUCAAAUUAAUCCCACUUCCUUCCUAGUCCACCCAACCCCACAAUAAAAAAGAAAUCUCAAAACUAGCUUUUAUUGGAAUUGUGUUCUAUGCAUAGGCAUAUCAUUUGUUGCCCUGUGUAUUUUGUAUAAACUCCUCCAAGCAUAUAGAUCCUCUGCAUUUACACAUGGAAAAUGACAGUCACAUGAUUGUACAUAUCCUUCAGAGUACCCCAUUUGUUACCUCAUUAUUAGGAGCAAAAAUAAUGGAUCGACCACUUCUUUCAUAGCCCUGUCUUCUGUUUGUGCUAUCCCACUAUAGUACACUUGAGAGGAUAAUAGACAUUUCCCUGACUUUACUUUUGUUUUCAUAUUAAAUGCUUAGAUUCAGGUCAUUUGUUUAUCCAAAACUUAAUCUAUGAUUGUAUUGUUCUAUCUUUUUCAAGGAUGGCUCUUGCAAUGGCUUACAACACCAUGCUGCCCUUGGAAGGGACAAGGUAGUGGAAUUUUCUGUUUUUGGUUGAUUGUUGUGGAAUUCUGAUUAUAUGAUAUGGAAGCAUGGUUUUUGAUUAGUUAGACAGUUUUUCACUCUUUUUCUGCUUUGAGGCUAAAUGUGUCUCACCUUUGAUCUUCUCUCUCUUUGAUAGAAAAAAGGAACUUUGUUAAGGAAAGAUGGUAAAAGGAUAAGGAGUUGGAAAUUGAAACCCAAGAAAGAAACCAAACUUUGUUUAAGUUUAGUGCAGUUUAUUUAAUUUGAUUUUUCAAGUAAUUUCAAAGUUUGGUUGUUUCCAGAAAGGGGAUUAUCAUCGGUAUUUGACGAGUUCAAAGGCUAGGGCAGCAAAUCAGUCUCUAAAGAGUGAAUUUUAGUUAGACCUUAGUAUUGGAGGAGAUAAAUUUUUAUUUAUUUAUUGAAGUUCCUUGUUCUUUGGCAAUAGAACUUUGUAUUGGGGAUUAUUAUUUGAUUAUGCAGUUUGGAUACAUAUACAUAUUUGGAUUAUGCAAUAUUGGAAAUUAUAAUUUUGUUGCUUCAACUAAAGUUUUAUAUAGGGAAUAGAAAAUAUAUACGGGAAAAAGUGGUAUGACCUCUUCAAUAUUGAAAUGAGAAUUUUAAUUAAAAUAUUUGAAAAAAGAAAUCAAGACUUCAGUUGUGGGCAAACAUAAGCUGUGUCCACAUAAUAAUCUAUGGCAGCGAACAAGCAAAAGUGGCAUCCAUAUGAAGCCCUAUAAUUGCGGCUGACAAAAGGUCAUGUCUAUAACAAAGCUCUCCCAAUCACAUAUAGAGCUUUUAGUUGAGGAAACAACAUGAGCGAAGGGAUAGCUUCACAACUUCUUGUGUUUUUUACUGGUGGCUGCAACUAUAGGAUUUAUCUGCAUGCCUAUGGCCUUCGCAGUUAUGAACUUAACUUCUUGUAGUGUGUAACACUUUCGCCUCGUGUAUGAUUGCAUGAACUUGCAACACAUGUACUGCACAACUCUUUGUUAAUGGUUAUAAAAAAUAGUUUUCUAUUUUUGAGAAUUGAAAAUAAGAAAAUCUUGUUUGACAAUAAGAAAAUAGUAAACAUUUUUUUUAUUUUUAAAAACAGAAAAGUUUUUGUUCUUAAAAAAAAUGUUUUAUGAGAACAUAUAUUAGUUGUUUUUAAUUGUUUUCUAGGAUUAUUUUAAAAUAAUAAUAAUAAGAUUUAUAUGAAGAAUAAUUAAAAAUAAAAUGCUACAAACCGAAACUUAUUUUUUUUGAAAAAUAUUUAAAUGUAAAAAAUAGGUUAAAAAUAUUUCAAAUUCUCAAACAAGCUUUAUUUUAUUUUUUUUAGAAUGGUUUUCAAAAUCAUUUUCUAACUAAUUUAAAGUAUAUUUGAUAGUGAUUUUAGAAAGCGUUUUUAAUUUUUUUAAUACUUGAAAGAUAAAAAAUUUUAAGUGUUAAAAAGAUUAGAAACCUUCCUAAAAUCACUAUUAAAUAGACUCUAAUUCUCCCUUUUAGAGGCUUGUAAGGGCUUUUAUAAUUUGCUUACCAAUCAUGUUAGACAUGUGGUAACCAUGUUAUGAGAUUUUGGGUUAGCAUCGGCUAGUUUGUACUUGUAUGUACUUAAUUUUUGUUUUUAAAAAUAAAAAAUGAAACUAACGUCGAUAUAAAAUAUAAAAACUUUUAGAAACUUACGUUACUUCAAAUUUCAAAUUUUUUUAUAGUGAAUUUUAAGAUAUAAGGUGAGUUUAUACUUUUGAUAUAAAAAUUUCUAUUUUUUAUAUAAAAAAAUAUUAUUAUUUUUUUGUGUAAAAAAAAGUCAAUAUAUAAAUAAUGAAAGUUGAAAGAACAUUUUUAAUGCAUAGAUUAUCUCAAGGGUUCAAAUGUGGGCUAAGUCUAAAACUUAAUAUUAAAUCUUCUCUCAUUCAAAUAAUAGUAUUUAUAAAUAAUAGAAUAUCCUAAAUAAAUAUAGUUAUGGACAAAUAUUUCAAACAGAUUUCUCAAAUAUUAGUAUCAAAAGAAAAUUUCAUUAACCAUGACGAGCUCCCUGUUUCAAUCUAAAACAUGUAAAUAAACAUAAUUAAUUUUAAUUUAAACAAGAUUUAGAUUUAUAUUAUGGACAAUAUAGUAAACCUAAAAAAUGAUCAUAAGUUUCUUAGUUCAUGACUUCGACUAAUAGAAAAAAUAUUUAUAAGCUCAAUUUUGUUGGAAUUUUAUUCAAUUCAUUCUAGUUUGAGAUUUUGUAUAUUUUCCUGUAACUUACCCUCCAUUAAAGAUACAAAAUUAUUUAAAGUUAACUAGAGAUCGGAUAGCACAAGUACACAGAGUUAUGAAAAGAAUAAUAACUUUUAAUUGAAAAAGAUUUAGGUGAUCGAGUGCUCAAGCACUUGAAUCUAGCUUUCAUGGUUUAGAGCACUCAAGUAUUGCUAGGAAGUACCCAAUAGCAAGCAAUCAAGUGCACUUACCGUGUGCUUGAGUACUCAAAAGUGGGGUUUCCAAAAAAUAAGUUUGCAUACAACACUCCUUGAGAAAAACAAUGAUCACAUACAUGUAUAUGAUCCAUGGUUUAAGUAAAACAUUUCUUAUAUUUAUAAUAAAUUUAUUUUAGAAUGUUGUUAUUAUAUUAUACCAAUGUAGUUAGGUCAUAUUUUGCUGAAUCAAAUGAAGAGAAAAUACAUUAUUUGACAAAUAUUUUACAAUUAAAUGCAAGGUUUGAAAUAUCAAUAAAUACAAAUAUAUCAGUACUUAGAUUUUACGGAUAUAUCGAAAAUAUUGAAUAAAUAUCGGUGAACAUUUUGACAAAAAUAUAAAUCUUGUUUUAAAAUUCAUGAAAAUACUUAAAAAAAACUUUCAAAAAAAAUGAUAAAAUAAAGAAUAAUAUAUAUUAAAGUUAUUUUGUAUGCUUAAAUUCUUUUAAUAUAUUCGUAUUUAUUUAUUUUUAAAUUUUAAAAGUACUUUUAUUGAAAGAUGUUUUAUUACAUUUUUAAUAAAAAAUUAAAUUGAUUUAUAUAAAAUAUUCAAAACCAUUACCCGAUAAAGACGCCUUUUGUGUGGGGAAGUAUUCAUUGCCAUCCAUGCAAAUCAAACCCACCUUUGAUCUUUAUUCACAAUUUCAUAUAUCAUAUAUAUGUCUACAAAAAUUAUAUAUGUUUAUAUAUAUAUAUAUAUAUGGGUUUGUACAUGUGGAUGUGUGAAUGAAAAGUUGGAAAAUAGUCUCUAUUGUUCUUUAUCGAAGAACGAUAGCUAGGGUUUCUAUUCGUCUCUCAUUCUCUGUAUUGUUUUGUUUCUCUUUCUUGGGGACUUACCUUUGUUUGUGAAUCGGAACCUAUGCUCAAUCAGCUUAAGAAUUACCCAGUAGUUUGUUUGCAUCAGGGGGUGUUUGGGUGGGAGAGUCUUAAGGUUUGUGAUUUGGGGGGUUUUGGUGUUGUGGGAGCUGAUUGGUGUCUGGGUUGGGAGGAAUCUAGGGUUUGUGAUAUGGGGUUUUGGUGUGGUUGAGGUGGGGAGGGAAAGAUUGAAUCUUGGGGAUUGUUUUUGUUGGUGGGGUUUUGAAGAUAGUGGAGAAUCGUGGAUCGGGUGCCGUCUAAUCGCCACUUUUCCGGUGGCGAGCAACCGUCCGAUUGGAGAGGUGGGGGCUUUUGUAUGGAAACUCGGAGCCCCAAGCGGGCGGAGGCGUCCUCAGCAGCCCGUUCUUCUGGACCGACCACCCGGUCGAGCAAGCGAUCUCGUAUCUCCUCUUCUUCUUCAAUGAUCCCAAUUUCAUCGAACCCCAACGCCCAUGCUACAGUGAAAAUUUAAUUUUGAGGGGAGAGGAGCUACACUUUGACCGAAACCAGCGUUGACCGACAAAAAUAUCGGGAAAUUUCCCAACAAAUAGGCAAAAACCGAUAUUUCGACGAUAAUUUAAAAAAAAUAGCGAAAUUCCUUCCAAUCGAUUAUCCGUCCUCAAUAUCGUAUCGAGCUUCACCAAUAACCGAAAUAUCGGGGAAAUUUCGCCGAUAAAAAAGACAUUUCAAUCACUGAUUAGAGGUGAUGAACACUGAUGUUAGUAAUUAGGUUUGCCAUAUUUUUCAAUAAUGUACAAUUAGCUUAAUUAGUUGAAGCUUAUACCAAAAAUAUAUUUGAAUCAAUAAUGGACAAAAAUUUCUGACUGGUACUUAGUGAUAAUCAACUACCAAAUUAUCAUAAACAUAGAAGUUGAAAGGAUAAUUUUAAGGCACAGAUGACUCUAAAAUAUCAAAACUAGGCUGAGGUGGUGUUUGUUUUUUUACUUAAUUCUAAAUAAAACUUCAAUACUUAAUAGUGUUAAAUAUUAGGUUGUUUGUUUUUGUAGUAUUUUAUUUCUAUUAAGUAUUAAAAAGUAAAGAAAAAUCAAUAUGUUAUUUUUUCCGUUUAGAAAAAGCUACAUAUUUUGGUUUUUUCUAUUUAGUAAAAAGUCUAUAAUAAGUCAAGAAAAAGUAGAAAAACAAACAACCUAAAUUCUGAAAACAAAGUGCUUUCAGCAAAAAACUAAAAAAACAAACACCAUCUGAGUAUCCAACUUAAUAUUACAACUUUUCUUACUUAAAUGACAAUUUGCAAAUAACAAACCUACCUAAAGAAAAAUAAUUGCUUGCCAACAUUUCAAAGAUAAGUUCUCAAACACUCGUGCCAAAGAAAUCUUCAUUACCACUAAGAAUUCAUCAUUGUAUUCAAUCUGAAACAAGUAAAUACACAUAAUUAGCUUCAAUUUAAGCAACAUUUAGAUUUUCAUCAUGGAAUAUAAAUAGCAUGUUCAUUAUUAUUAUUAUUAUUAUUAUUAUAUAAUUAAUUAAUUAACAACAUAAUAUUAACAAACUUGGUUAUAGAGACUAUUUAAAUUCUUAUAGUUUUCAUACUUAUGGUAUUAACCAUACUCAAAUGAGUAUAUUUGUCAAUAAAUUUAGAGUUUCAACUAACAACCUAUAACAAUCUAUAACCUUAGCUGCUUGUUUGUAUAUUUUUUGGAAUUCAACCUUGGAAAAAAUUUCAUGUAUCUUAAUCUUUCCUAUGAAAAUCGCAUUCUGUAACUUCAAAGAGUUGAACCCAAUUAUAAACUUCCUCAAUCCUCUUUCUAAUGACUCAAACUAAGAAAUUGAUUACCCUAUGCAUUGUAUUUAGGAACUUAAUUGUAGUAAGGAAAGAGAAACAACUUAUAUUCAUAUGCAUGGUUGAAGGGUCUAAAAAUAUGCCCCUUACUAUAACAUGCUUUGAACAUUUAAAGCAAUAUACUUUUAGUAAAAUCUAAGUCCAACAAGACUACAAUUCAAUUUCUUUUGUAAAUUUAAAUCAUUAUUUCCAAUUCAAAAUUUUAAGAAAUCAUAUAAUAAAAUAUAAGUAUAAAAAGAUUAAUAGCUAACAAAUAUGUACCUAAACGGAGAUGACCUUACAUUACAUUGUAAUGAAAUUCAUCUUACCUUCAUUUUGUAUGAUGUUUGUUAUUUUGAAACCUUAUCACCCUCUGCAAAAGAGCUGAAUUCAUUGUGAUGAUAAUCAUAACACACCAAAAAUACAAUGAAAUUAAAAAACAAACAAGGAAGAAAAAAAGAAGGAAAAAGAAUGGGAAGUGAUGUAAGAUAUUUCACCUUUUUAGCCAUGAACUCCAUUUGCUUCCAUCUUCCUUUUCAGACGAGCCACAUUCACUGCAGUGAAGACAUAUAGCCUAUCUCUGGUUUCAUCAAUGAACCGGAAAUAUGCCUGCCUCUAAGACUUCUUUAGAACCAAACUGCCACAUACAACCCAAAAUCCCACCGGAAACCCCAAUCCCAUGCUUAUGAAGAACCAUGACAUGUCCCAUUCAUCUUCAUCUUCCUCCUCAUCUUUGUGAUCUUGAUCAUUUAAAGUGGAGCAGUUGGUUGACAAUGGAGGCCCACAAAGUCUGAGGUUCGCCUCAUAAAUGGAUGGAUCGUUGAAUGUCGAGAACUGGUUGGUUUUUGGAAUUGGUCCUGACAGGCGGUUAUGCGAUAGGUUCAAAUGGUUCAAUGAGGUUAUAGAAGACAUGCUCGGAGGAAUUGGGCCUGAAAGGCAGUUGCAUGAGAGGUCAAGAGUUUCUAGCCCUUGCAUGGCUCCAAUCUUCUCAGGUAUCUUUCCAGUCAACUGGUUUCGGGACAAAUUCAAGGUACCCAGGGUCGAGAGAUUUGUGAUCUCUUUUGGGAUCUCUCCCCAAAUGUUAUUGCUAGAAAGAUCUAUCAAAUUCACAAUUGGCAAUAUGCUAUCAAAUUCCAUAUUUUGUCCCUUUACAACUAGCUCCAUGCGCUCCGAAUAGGCGACAUGACCAUUGGGGUCGUCAAAAUUUCUGUCUAAUAAGGUCACAAAACUUAAAGCAGUUAAAUUGCCUAAGCAUUGUGGGAUGGAUCCUGAUAAAUUGUUCACUGCAAGAUCCAAAAUGUGGAGAUGAGAAAGCCAACACAAUUGCUCAGGAAUAUCUCCUGUCAACAUGUUGCCCCGUAGACGCAGCUGCUCCAGUGAUGGCAUUCUUUCUCCAAUCCAUUUGGGUAUCUCCCCCGAAAACCUGUUAUUUCCAAGAUCAAGGGAGUACAACCCUGUGUAGUUUCGUAAGCUUGGAAAGGGUUCCCCAGAAAGAUUGUUGUCACCCAAUAUCAACUGAGUAAGUGAAGAUUUUGAACACAUCCAACUCGGAAUCCCACCAGACAUUUUGUUCUUGGAUAGAUCUACAGUGUCAAGCCAUGGCAAAUCAUUCCAAUUCUUUGGAAUCUUUCCAGAUAAAUGAUUGUUUGAGAGAUUAAUUACUCCCAAAUACUUCAGUUUACUAAUUGAUGAAGGAAUGCUGCCAUUUAACAAGUUACAAGAAACAUCAAGGAUUUCCAAGCUUGAUAAUUCCCCGAUGUUUAAGGGAAUUGGACCAGAAAAUGAAUUGUUUCCCAGAUACAAAGAUCCCACAUUAAGUCGAAGUGGGAGUGGGCCCCCCAAGUGGUUGAAACUUAAAUCCACCAAUGCGCCUUGGCUGAAGGAUAAUGAGUUGGGAAGCGUUCCAUACAAUUGGUUUCUAGAAAGAUCUAACCACGAAAAAUCUUGUUUCCAAAGCCAUUCGGGUAUUGCAUCUGAAAUCCCCACAUUUUUUAGAAUCAUAAAUCCAAGUCUCUUUUGAGUUCUAAGCCAGUUGGGGAACUUGAGAGAUACAUGGAAGUUGUAAACCUCGAUAGAUUCGAGACUGAAGGGAGGAAUCCAUUCAGGUCUCAAAUGAAAACGGAGAGACUGGUUUUUGGGUGAUACGAGUAAUGAGAAUUUUUCCAGUUUAGUAAGAUUACUAAAAUGAAUUUCAGAUAUUACCCCUUCCCAAGAAUUCCAAUCAAGAUACAACUCAGUCAGCUCUCUAAGUUGUCCGAUACUUUUUGGAAUAGUCCCAUUCAUUAGAUUGUUUGACAAGUCAAGUCUCUUCAUCCGCCGCAAGUUUCCAAUCCAUGUUGGAAUUGGACCUGAGAUGAAGUUUUCAAUCAGAUAAAGAAUCUCUAAGUUGGUAAGGUGUUGAAUUGAAUUGGGGAAGGGACCAACAAAACUAUUGUUCAUCAAGUUCAGGUACUUUAAAUUCUUAAAGAGCCCUAAUGAAUCUGGCAACUGACCACCGAAUUGAUUAUAACCCAAGUUUAACCAUUCCAAGGAAUUAUUAGUGCAUGUUGAUAAACCAUUCACCAAUUCAAUUGCUUCACUUCCAAUAUAAUUGAAUGAGAGAUCUAAGGUCACCAAGUUGCGAAGGCUUCCCAAGUUAACACGGGGAAUCGGACCUUUAAUUGUAGCACCAUUUAAAUAAAGAUCCAUAAGGGUACUGAUAUUAAACAACCAGCCAGGCAAAGUAGUGUUGAAAUUGUUGUAGGAGAGAUCAAUGACCGAAACAGAAGUCAAAUUAACAAACGGAUUGGAGUACUGAGGGAAGUGACUGAGAUGACAACCGGACAAAUGUAAUUCUAACAAAAAUGGAAGCAUGUUUACAGCUUGCAUCCAAUUUGUGGUUGCUUUACUAAGGUCCACAUACGCCAGAUCAAGGUAUUUUAAAGAAGAAAGACCAGAAAGCCAAUUUAAAUUAGAAACCCUCAUUGGAUAAUCUCCUCCCAAAAGAUCAAGAUAACGUAACUGUGAUAAAUUUCCAAGAUGAGGAGGAAUCAUCCCACCAAAUCGUGCAUUAGAGAGAUUAAGGUAUCUCAACCUUUCAAAUGAGCCCAAGAAAUUUGGAAUUGGAAUUCCUUGAAAAUCAUUAAGACUUAGGUCCAGGUAAGUUAAAUGUUUCAAGUCAAGUAAGGAACCACUUAUCUCACCACCCAAACGUGAGAAGCCACCACCCAAACGUGAGAAGCCACCACCAGAUUUGAGGUCAACCUUGACAACAUGCCCUGUUUGGUUGUUGCAAUCCACACCUUUCCACUUGCAGCAAUCUGCACCAACCCAGGAAGAAAGCCUACCUGAAGGAUCUUUCAGUCCAUUUUUGAAUUCAAGAAGCGCUUUCCGCUCUACCUCAAUGC